rnacentral:lncRNA from 1 species
GAGAAGGGGGUUUUGAUCGAUUUUCUGGCGACAGUUCAUCUGAACCGGAGGGACGGAUUUUAUUUUCGUUAUCCAGAUGGAGCUCUAGUGAGCUCAGGCAUCAACAUUAAGAAAAAAAAAGGGGACUGGCCGGAUUUUUUAGAAUGAACUGAUGGUGCAGCCGGUUUUAGAGGUUAAAGGGGGAUUCGAUGUUAUUCCGGCAGGUUUCAAUGUUUCUCGAUGAUGAACUCAUUGUUGGAGGAAUCGAACUUCUCCGAUCGUCCCCUUCUCUCUCGAUUUCACUCUCUCAUCGUCUCUCCCUCUCUCAAUCUCACUAUUUGAGCUCUCAAUAAUCUACCUCCCUCUCCGCGUGUAGUGGUGUAUGUGUGUGUUUUGACGAUGAAAAGGGAGAAUAGAGUCUCUGUUUUUAUCUUAUGUAAUGGUGUAUUGUUCUGUGGUGUGUGUAAUUGGGUAUUGAUGGAUGAUUCCUUCGUAUUGUUACUGUGAGUGUCCUCGUCAGUGAAGGUAUCUGUAGGUAUAUGUUGUUGCUGCCAAUGAACUUCAUUUUUUUUAGGCUUUUCUCAACAGAACACCACCGAACCAAGAAGACCGCCUAAGUAUCUCACUCCCGAGAGAGAAGAAUCAGGUGUGCGUAAUUCGUGAAGUCGUGCUAAAAUGGUCAAUUGAACUCUUUGUUUUCUUUCUUUUUUUUUUCUUUUUCUCGAAACUUUAAGAAGAAAAGAAAAUAACAAUUUGUCAAAAGAAUUGACGAAAAUGUUUUUGAAUUUUUCAGCUUUAACAUCCCUUUACAAAGUGAAAUCUAUGAUUACCAAAGAAAAUCUUUUUGGAUUUUCAGUUUUAAAUUUCAUAUGAAAAUGAAACUUGAACCUACUAAAGAAAUUUUUUUUGUAGUUUUCUUUUAGAGAUGUAUAUGAAAUACCUACUCUAAGUGAAGAGUAAAGAAAAUCUUUUUGAAUUUUUUUUAAAUACGAUCCCCAAACCAACAAUAGGCUGCCUACGUAUCUCACAUCCCGAAAGAGGAGAAUCAGGGGUGUGUAGUUCGUCCAGAUUGGACAAUUAAGGAUUAAAUGACAAACUAAACCCUGAAUUGAGAGACACGACUAAAGACAGACGAAUAAAAUCUUUUUUGGAUUUUAAAUUAGAAACUAACACCAACAACUAUGAAAGAAAAAAUCUUUUUGAUAUUUUCAUUAUAUAAAAAUGUGCAAAGCUCCUAUUGAAAGGAAAUAUUUAUUUAUUUUUUGAAUUGUAAAAAACAAAAAUCAUAAAGAACCCUAAAACUACCAAAUCUCUUUUUUUUCUUCCCUUUUUUUUUCAACAAUUUCUUGCCUACACACUUUGCUUCUAACUCAUGCUUUUGCCCAAAUUAGUCUGUCAAAUGACUUCGUUACCCUCAAAGAUGUAACAUUUAGCAUGUAGGGAUGCUUUAGAGGUGAGUCUCCAACAAAGGGCCAUGUGGGUCCCGCUAGAUCUCAAUAUGAUGCUAAUAUACAUGAGCUAAAGGCUGACCUGCAUUGGGGUUCACAAACAAGGCUGCUAGGGGGAGCGUAUGGUCGAUAGUGGCUGCGUUAGCUUUCAACCCACUCCAUACAAGCCGACGACUCCCCCUCCUAAAAAAAUAAGGGUGACUCAACUAUAGGUUGUGUACACAGCAUGUACUACAGAACUUGUUGCAGAAAGAAUUGACUCGGGUUAUGCAAAUGAUGCCAGAUAUAAAGCGGUAACACAUAAGAGAAAAACUGUAAUCACGUAGCACGUAGGCACUCAACAACGAUAAACAAAUACAAACAAUAACACAAACAAUAUCUAUACACUUAUAAUGUCAAAACUAAACCGAUAUAACUCUAAAAAUAAGCUCGAAUUCUGAAAAGAUUCUCAGCAGAGUCGCCAGAGCUGUCACACCCUUUUUUUUUCACUCCCAAAAAGAAUUAAUUUUUAAGUUUCGAAAGGGUUUUAUUAUUAAAGUGACAAAAGAUGAAAAUUAUUUCGAAAAAAGGAUUCAUUAGUUUCAAAACUCAGAGUCGCCACUUGGCACAAAUCAGGUGUGCCAAGUUACCCGUGGAUUUCCUUUUUCAAAAUGGUUUUGACUCUAUAAAACUGAUCCGUGAAUAGAGAUUCUGGCUAAGGAAUUCUGUUGAGCGAGGGGAAGGUGUUAGGCACCCUCGAUCCCGUGGUUCGACCACGGUCGCUUGGUGGAGUAUAUCGGCUAAUUUGAACACUAUGAAUGUAUAAACCACACCAAACAUAAAUAAACCACACCAAUCGCUUGGUGCUGUGAAUAGUGUCGUGAACAGUACCGUGAACUGUGUUGUGAACAAUACGCGAACAGUGUCAAUUUUUGGGUUCGAUUGGAUUUACGAAGCUUCAGUUUCGAGUCUCAAAUUUUUUAAUACGGAGUUGGAGUUCGUCAUUGUUGAGGUCCUAUUAGGAAUUCUAUAGUCCGGGCUUUCUUCAUUUUAUUAUCAACAAAAUCAAUUCUUCAAAGGUCUAUCUCUCAACUCUACUUUUAAUUAUAUCGAAGUUGGUUAAUAUCGUGAUUUUGUGGUGCGGUUUUGAAUAUUUCGAGCAAAAAUGUUAAUUGUUGUUAAGGAUAUGAAUGAUUGGUAUGCUUAAAUGUUUGAAUCUUCGUUGGAGUAUGUGUUGUUGGUUUCGGAUUUUGAAAAGUGAUUUGAUAGUCGAACUGGUUUAAUAAUGUGGUUAAAAAAAGGAUUUGGGGGAUGAAAUUGAGAAAUUGAUAAAAAAAAAAGUUGAAUUUAGAUUAGCUUUGGUUUAUUGUUGUUUUGUUUAAUUCGUAAUGAGCAUGAAUAUUGUUGGAAUGUGAUAAAAUUAUGAUAUGUUGAAAUGGAGAGGCGAAUGUUGGUUCGGGUAGAGAUAUAAAAAUAAUACAAUUAAACUUUACCUCUACACAAAAAAAAAAAAAUCUUCAAACAGAGAUAUAAAAACAAUACAAUUAAACCUAACCUUUACCUAAAAAAAUUCCUCAAAAUCGACCGACAUUCAUCUACCAGCUGUAAAUUCAUCUACGACGUGUAAACUACAAUAAAAUAAUACAAUAAUAGUGAUCACAAAGCUUCAAUUUUGAUGAAAAUAAUUCUUGUCUGAGCAAAAAUUUUGACACUAAAGAAUGACUUGAAUGAAAACAUAUAUAUAUAUAUAUACACACGUUGAAUUCUAUUAUGUUGAGAAAAAUAGUGAAGAAGUUGAGGGUUAAAAAAUUAAGCAUCCAUCAAUCUAGAUGCAACCGAAUCAAGUUAGAUGAACAUCAAUCAUAUUUUCACAAUAAGUAAAUCAGUUUCUUUCUCUAGUUUAACUUGCAUCUCAAUAUUUAUAGAAGUAUUUCCCUAAUAGAGUCCUAAGUAUUUUUCUAUCCUAUUUUAGGAGUAUUUUUGUAAUUGAUCAUUACAAAGAAAAAUAUUAAUUGAUUCUCCUUCCACAUAUUUUAGGAGUGCGAUAUAUUUUAGAAAUCUAGUUAACAUCAUAAAAAUAAUUAAAUAAUAAAUUGAAGAAAAUAUUGAAAAGACAAUUUUGUCUAAGAGAGAGUCUUUUUAACGAAGGACAAAAAGUUCAAAUCAUUUUUCAAAGGAUAUUUACACUUUUAAGCACGUGUGUGAGAGAGAGAGAUUAUAUACAUGAAUGUGUUAUUUUUGAAAAUUCGUUUUAACAUGGAAUAAUGGGGAGAUGAACCUUUACAUGUUUGGUUCAGGUUGAAUGUAUAAUUUGAGAGAUACAUGUUUUAAUUGAAAAAAUAAUAAUAAUUGGAAUUUGGAAGUUAAGAUUAGACAGACAACAAAAGAUGAAUAUAGGAAUUGAGACAUAAUACAUGGGUCAUGGGGUGAAAAGUACCACAUACAAAAUUCACUUUGAAAAUUACAACAUAAUUUGGAUUUUGGAACAUAAAUUCCCUGAAUUUACCAAUGUGAUUUACAAGACUUUUCAAAUUUCCCCUUUUAAAUAAAGACAGAAACACAAGAUCCACACCUUAACAAAACAAAGGAAAGACAUCAACAAUAAAAUCCAAUAGCACUAUUAUUCUUUUUUUUUUCCAAUAUACAAGGAUGACAUACCAAGUACUUUUCACCAUUUUGCCUAAUUUCGAAAUAUAGAGACAUGUAAAUGAAGGCGUUGUGCAAAGUAGUGAAUAUUUUUUUCAUAAAGACGAACUCAUUUUUAGUGUCUUCGAAGAGAUGAAGCAGACAGAACGACCAGGAGAAUCAAGAUAACCACCGUGACAAAGGCAGCCACCACGGCUCCACUGGCCCUUUGGCAAAAAUCGCCAAAUUGUUGGCAAAUUGCUAGCCAAUUUGCAUCUUGGUUUCCAUUGUGAGCCAAAUAUACUAUGGCUGCUGCUGAUCCUGCUGCACCGGUUGUCAAUGCAAUGAUAACCUUCAAAAUUGUCAAAAACAUAACAUUUUUUAAAAAAAAUUAAUCACUUACUGCAAAAUUUUAAAUACGUUUAUUAGAACUAACGAUAAGUGGAAGAGACACCCUUUAAUUAAAAAAAAAACGUCCUUCAACAUUCUUGAAUAAGAUGUGUUUCUCGCUAUCGCUUUAUAAUCAGUGCCGGAGCCAGAAUUUUCACUAAGGGGGUUCAAAAUCGAAAGAACUAGGCACACGAAGUAGAUGAAGGGGGUUCAAAAUCAAUUAUAUAUACAUAAAAAAUAAUUUUAACUAUGUAUGAAUAGUUUAAUUUUUCGCUAAAGGAGGUUCGGAUGAACUCCCUAAACAUAAGGUGGCUCCGUCCCUAUUUGCAAUAACAUUGCCACCUGAUAUUAUGAGGGCCACAUUUAAAUUAUUUUGCGAAAUUUAAGCACAAAUUUUUCCUUGUGAAAAAGGUACAUGAGUUUGAAAAAUUCCAUCGUUGAUGAAAAAUGACAUAUUUGAACCACUCUUAUAAAACAACAAGAACAUAUUUAAUCCAAAUUAUUAACAAAAGAUAAAUUUGAACUAUUUCACAAAUUUAUAGUGCAAAUUUGGACUUUCCAAUCUUGGGUUGAACACAAUGGUUGUAAUCUAAAUUUUAGGUUUACAUUUAAUAAAACAUUAUUAAUGUCACUCGGACAAUAAGCCGAUACUGCUCGCACAAAGUCCUGUAUACGUAGAAUUAAUAAAUAAAUUAGAGAAGUAUUCAUACCGUAUCAAAUAUAAUGAGUAGUAGCCUGGGUACAACCGCAUGAGGUCGAACAAUGCACACUAUUGAAAAAGGUACAGAGAGGACAAGGUAGGCAACAACUAUUCCCAUUCCUACCACAAAAAACCUGUAACAUAUAGCAAAUCAAUUAAUUAAUUCCUAUAUGUGUAUAUAUAAUUUGAUAGAAUAAUUAUAUAUUUACGCAUCAUGAACACAGAUGACUUGUAAGAAAAGCAACCAAUAUUGGUCUCUUUUACAUCACCGACCACAUAGCCUGCAGCGUCUUUUUUUAGAAAUUUCGCGGUGUGGGCUAUUAAUUUGCUUACGUGAAAGUUGGAAGAUCGUCAUAGCUAGCUUCGAACUGAAAGAAUUGAGUGAAAAAGGGCAGAGUUUCAUCAGUAGUAGCCAUUGCAACAGUAGCACCUAAUGCGGACGCAAAAGCGGCUAUUCUUAAAAUGAGGUCAAAAAUUGCAAUGCCUCUUUUAGCACUUCUUUUUGCAUGAGUAGCACUUGCAGCUGCAGCAGUAGCAGCAACAGGAGCAGCUGUUCCCAAUAGUGGGGCUUUUCCUUUCCUUUCUUUGGUGUUUUCCACAACAUCAACUUUGGUUGAUUCACUUUUCUCCAUUUUGUAAAGAAAGAAGAAAAUUAGAACAAAAGUGGCUAGAAUUUAAAUGAAGUUUGUAUUGUUUUUUCCUUGUUGUUGUUGAUUGAGUGGCUAUUUGCUUGUUUGUGGUGAAUAUAGCAAAGAUGGGGUAGUACUUAUAUAGGGACUUUUGUAGGGUGGACUUAUUAUAUUAAUGGCCAUUUUUUAAUAUUUUGGUAAUGGAGCAAGAAGAGUAGUUGUUUAGUUAAAUAUUUCCACGGUUCCGAUGCUAAAUAAGUGGUGUUUAACAUUUUUAUUUUUGUUUCUAAAUAAGUGUUAUUUCAGAUAAUCAAGACGACAUUAAUACUAUUUCAAUUUUAUCCUUCUUUAAAUAAAAGAUUUAUUUAAAAAUGAAUUACAUAUUUUUCAAUCUUUUUAUUGAGGAUAAGUUAUAGAAAAAUUUCUUAAGGAAUAUGUUUAAGCUAAAACAAUCGCUUAUUUAAAAAAUAUGUUUAAGCCAAAACAAUCGCUUAUUUAAAAACGAAGGAGGGAGAGUUAGUAACAAGCGUAUGAAAAUUUGAUUAUUAAUGAUGUCAACUUUUGAAUAAUAAAGCAAAAAUAUGUAGAUGAUGGAGCAGAUAGAUUGGAAAGUAAAGGACAGAAAAAUUCUUUUGAAAUCAUUGUGAGUUUUCAACUAAACAAUGAACUUGUACUCUAAUCCAUUAAGGUGAACAAAUUUUAUUUUUUUCUCCCACUCCUCUUAACACCUACCCCAACUUUUAGAAAGUCCAACCUUUGUUUUACAAGGCCUUAUUGUGAUUUUCCCAAGACUCACGUAUGAAGCUUAAUUAUGUGAGGCCUAUGUAAGAUGAAAAGCUAGUUCAGAAUUUAAAGUUUAUAUAUUUUAUAUUAGAUAAAAAAAAAUCAAUAAAAAUAAAUUAUAUAAUAAAUAAGGGGAGGUCAACACAGUCAUCAUUUUCAUCUUAAAUUAUACAAGAAAAGUCUAAGUCACAUCUAAACUAUCUAAGUGACCUGUUACAGACUUAAACUACUUAAAAGUGAUAUUUUUUAUCCCCUAAAUCUAAUGUGGAAAAAACAUAAUUAUUUAAAUUAAAAAAGCGUGUCUAAAUAAAAAAAAAUAUUGAAAAAAAUAAUUAAAAAUUAAAUAUUUCCCUCCUUCACCCCCCGAACAUCUUCUUCUUCAUCACCCCCUACCCCCAAACAUCUUCUUCUUCAUCACCCCCACCACCAAACUCGACCCCCACCCCCAAAUAAGCAAUUUCUUCUCCUCCACCUUCAUCGAAACAUCUUCUUCUUCAUCAUCCCUACCCCAAAAAUUCAACCCCACCCCAACCAACACAUCUUCUUCAUCACCCCACCCCCAAAUAAACAAUUUCUUCACACCACAUUCUCCAUCUUCAUCGAAUCAAUGUCAAUUUCACCAUGAAUAAAAUCAAAUUGAAUUUGCUAUUUAAACGGGCAAAUUUCAAAAUUUUUGUCACACUUCAUCAAACACUUGACGAGAAUGCAUUCCUAAUCCCACUUUCUAAAACUAAAUCAUCCACAGAAUCAUCCUCCCUAACAACAAAGAAGCAGCAACUCUUGAAUUUUGGAUGAUAUUGGAUUUGGAAAGCACGGACUUUUGUACCAAUCUUCCUUUCUGGUUCUGAAUGACCCUUCUUAAGUAAGUCAAGCAACAUCAACGGAGGUUUCUUCUUUCUCCGCCGUUGCUAAGGCUUCAUUGGCUACUGGUUCAGUUUCCUCCAUUGCUGAGCUGCCAACUUUUUUUAGCUUUGAUUUUCUUGCUUUAAUCCCUUCUUUUCUCUUUUGUGAGUGUGUUGUUAAUUCAUCCCAAAAAUGGAGGGUUUUGUGUGUUCAUAUAUUUAAAUUAAAAAAAAAAUAUGAAAAUAUUAAAUUUUUUAUUUUUUUUAAUUAUGCUGACGUGGCAGGCGCGUGUGCAACAUCACACCACAUACAAGUGGUAUAAUGUUUUAUAGGGUGUAAAAAAUAUCAUUUUUAUAUAGUUUAGGUGUGUAGUAGGUCACUUAGAUAGUUUAGGUGUGGCUUAGACUUUUCUUGUAUAGUUUAGGAUGGAAAUGAUGUAUUUUCCCUUUUCAACUUAUAAUUAUUAAAUAUUUACUAAAUUUCUAAAUAUAAAUACAAGAUUCGCAUGAAAGUUACUAAUUAUGUAUUUUUAGUUUAAAUUUGAGAUAGUUAAAUAUUUUCACAACUUUAAAGCAAAUCACUGGAAUAUGAUAUGAUACUCCAAAAUAGAAAAAUAUUUUUUAUGUGAUAAACUAAAAGCUAAAUAAAUUCCGGUUAAACUUACUUGUCUAUCAUUAUGAUUGAAGUGUCCGUAAAUUAUAUUAUCGUUAUAUUGAGCUAAUUCUUUAAUGUAAAAGCAAAAAAAAAAAAUCAUUUAUUAACUAUAAAUAUUUAAUCAAAUAUGAAUGUAGCUUAAUUAUUUAAAAUUCUGUUAUUAUUAAGAAUUUAAUUAAAAUCUUAGAUAUUGUAUAAAAUCGUCAUGAUAUAAUUAUAUCUAACAUUUAUACUCAUUGUCUUAAAAUAAACACUUUAUUUUAAUGAACACUUCUAAGACCAAGGUAAUCUAAAAAUACCUAAGCCUAGUAAAAUACAUCUAAUAAAAACCUAAUCAUUUUGUAUGUUUAAUUUUAAUACGAUAAAGCUACUUUGUAUCACAAACAAAUCACCACCAUUCUUGUAUGUCUCCUUAUUUGAGCGGUAUUAACUAUUAACCAGCCAAAAAAAUAUAUAAUAUCUAUAAUCUAUAUCUAUAAUAUAUCUAUGAUCUAUAAUCUAUAAUCUAUAUCUAUAUCUAUAUCUAUAUUCUAUAAUCUAUAAUCUAUAAUCUAUAAUCUAUAAUAUAUUAAAAGUGUGAAGACCCCUAAAAAGUGAUUUGAACUUUUUACCCUUCAUUCAAAGACUCAUCGUUAGACAAAACUGUCUUUUCACUAUUUUUUUAUAAUUUAUUAUUUAAUUAUUUUUUUAUUAUAUUAACCAGACUUCCUAAAAUAUAUGGUAAGAGAAUUAAUAAUAUUUUUUUCUACUACGUUUCCUAAAAUAUAUGGUAGGAGAAUUAAUUAAUAUUUUCCUUUCUACUAUUUAAUUAGAAAAAUACUCCUAAAAUAGGACUUUAUUAAGAAAAUACUUCUAUAAAUAUUGAGAUGUAGUUAAACUAGAGAUUAAACCGUUCCUUUUAUACAUAAUUCUAUUGAUUGACUUGAGACACACGUGACAAAAUUAGUAUAUAUAUAUAUAUAUAUAUACACGUAUAUUAACAAUUAACAACUAAAGUAACCUUAACAACCUCAAAAAUAAUUUAAAUUAUUAUUUUUAAAAAAAUACACACUUUUUGAAACAAGUUAAUUUUAAAAAUAUGUCAAUAUAGGCUAUUAACAAGAGUUUAUUCAUGAUUUGGUUGAGAUUAACGAAAGUAAUAUUUGAAGUUCCAACUUUUUUUUGUUUUUGCUCAAAAUGAUUUGCAUUAAAUUAAUAUUUUUCUUUCUACUGUUUAAUUAUAAAAAUACUUCUAAUAUAGGACUUUAUUAAGGAAAUAUUUCUAUAAAUAUUGAGAUGUACGUUAAACUAAAGAACAAAUCGGUUUGCCUAUUGGGAGAAUAUGAUUGAUGCUCAUCUAACUUGAUUCGAUUGCAUGUCUACAUGGUGAAUGCUUGAUUUUCUAACCCUAAAUUUUUUCACUCUUUUUGUCAGCAUAAUAUAAUUCAAUACGUGUGUAUAUAUAUCUUCUUUGUUUUUAUUCAAAAUCAUUCUUUAGGGUAAAAAAUUUUUUAUCAGAUAAGAAUUAAUUGGAUCAAAAUCGAAGCUUUAUGAUCACUAUUAUAUUUUCUUUUAUAGUUUACAGGUCGUAGAUGAAUAUCGGUUGACUUUAAAAAAUUUCUUGUGGAAAGGUUAAGUUUAAAUGUAUUGUUUUGAUAUCCUUAUUAUCUUAUUAUUUUAUUUUAAUUUACAGAUGCUAGAUGAAUGUGGAUUGCUUUAAAAAAAAAUUAUAGGUAAAGGAUAGGUUUAAUUGUAUUAUCAUAAUAUCUCUAUUAGUUUGUUAUUUUGUGGUAGUUUACAAUUCGUAGAUGAAUCUCGAUCGGUUUUGAAAAUUUUUUGUGUGUAAAAUUUAAGUUUAAUUAUAUUGUUUUGGUAUUACUUUUAUCGUAUUAUUUUGUUGCAUUUUACAGGUGAUAGAUAAAUGUUGGUCGGCUUUGAGAAAUUUUUUAUGUAAAGGUUAGGUUUAGUUGUAUUAUUUUGAUAUCUCUAUUAUCGUAUUAUUUUGUUAUUGUUUACAAAUGGUAGAUGAGUGUCAGACGACUUUGAGAAAGUUUUUGUGUGUAAAGAUUAGAUUUCAUUAUUAUUGUGUACAAGUGAUAGAUGAGUGUCAGACGAUUUUGAGAAAGUUUUUGUGUGUAAAAAUUAGAUUUUAUUGUAUUAUAUUGUGUCUCUAUCAUUAUAUUAUUUUGUUACAAUUUACAGAUGGUAGAUGAAUGUCGAUCGACUUUUAAGAAUUUUUUUAGUAAAGAUUAGGUUUAAUAAAUAAAUUUUCCAUCUUUACAUACUCAAAAGAUAUUAAAUUUAAUUAUUAUAUUCAUAUUUUUUUAUUUAAACAAAUAUCCUCUGAACUCAUUAAAGUGAGGUACACGCGUAAGGCGCGUACACCUAAACUAGUAUAUUUAAAGUGUGAAGACCUUAGAAAAGUGAUUUGAACUUUUUACCCUUCAUUAAAAAUCUAUUCUUUAGACAAAAUCAUUUUUUUAGUAUUUUACUCAAGUUAUUAAUUUAUUAUAUUUAUAAUAUUUAAAAUUAGAGAGUCCUAAAAUAUGGUAACAGAAAAUAACAAGGAAAAGACAAGGCUAAAAGAAAAGUCUAUUUCAUCACUUAAAUUAAAAAAGAGGAAAAUAAAAUUCUACUUAAAAAAGGUAGCAAACGUUCUUUUAAAGGAAAAUAAAUUUUACUUAGAAAAGGUAAGAAACUUUGUUUAAAAGAAAAAAAAAAUCUCCCGAAUAAAGUUUGACAAUGAAGAUUUAUUUUUAAAUAUUUAAGAAAAAAAAUUAGAAGACCCAAUUAUAUUGUGCACUGUUACAAAUUUUAGGUGAGUACAUUCUUCAUAUUUAUUAUAGAUUCAAUUCUUUGAUUUUUAAUUACGGAUUUACUUUAUUUUUUAUUAGAUAUUUCAAUUUUAUUUUUACAUUAUUACUUAACUUGAUUAAUACGUGGCUUAUUUUUUUCUUUCUUUCACCACUUAAAUUUGGUGUAGUUAUGUUUGUACUUUAAUUUGUUGGUAUAUCUAUAAUAUAUUAAAAAUAUGAAUGCCUUUAGAAAAGUGAAUUAAACUUUUUGCAAACAGUCCGUUUUAGACAAAAUCGUCUUUUACCCUCUUUCCUACAAUUAAAUUCUACAAAAUAAAUAUAAUAAAAUUUUUCUUUACCCAAAUUUUCCUUUACCGUAUUUUUCAUGUAAUAAAAUUUUCCUAACUAAAAUUCUCCUUUACCCAAAUAAUAAAAUUUAUUUUCCUUUACCCGUAUUUUUCAUAUAACAAAAUUUUCCUAACUAAAAUUCUCUUUUACCCAAAUUUUCCUUUACUCGUUUUCCGUUUUUUAACCAUAUUUAGCUUUUCUCUCUAAUAUUUUUCUUCACCCGUUUUAUUUUAUUUUUAAUCUUAUUUGAUUCCUAUUUGGUUUCUUUCAACAACGUCUUUUCUUUUCCUUAUAUAUAAAUGCUUGAGUUUUUAUUCAUUGUUCAUUAUUAUAAACAGAUGCGAUCUUUCAUUGUUUUCCGUCUCAACACAGUUUAUUAUUUUUUGUCUCAUCUAAUUUGAUUCGGUUGCAGGUCUAGAUUGAUGGAUGCUUGAUUUUCUAACCCUCAACUUCUUCACUAUUCUUGUCAACAUAAUAGAAUUCAACGUGUGUGUAUAUAUGUAUCUUCAAUGUUUUCAUUCAAGUCCUUUAGGGUUAGUUUUCGCUCAGAUGAGAAUUAUUUUCACCAAAAUUGCAGCUUUGUGAUCACUAUUUUCUAACCCUCAACUUCUUCACUAUUCUUGUCAACAUAAUAGAAUUCAACGUGUGUGUAUAUAUGUAUCUUCAAUGUUUUCAUUCAAGUCAUUCUUUAGGGUCAAAGUUUUCGCUCAUACGAGAAUUAUUUUCAUCAAAAUCGCAGUUUUGUGAUCACUAUUGUAUAAUUUUAUUUUAAUUUAUAGGUCGUAGAUGAAUGUCGGUUGGCUUUAAAGAAUUUCUUGUGUAGAGGUUAGGUUUAAUUGUAUUGUUUUGAUACCUUUAUUAUCUUAUUGUUUUAUUUUAAUUUACAGAUGGUAGAUGAAUGUCGACUGACUUUGAGGAAUCUUUUUAGGUAAAGGUUAAGUUUAAUUGUAUUGCCUUAGUAUCUCUAUAGGUUAUUAUUUUGUUGUAGUUUACAGUUCGUAAAUGAAUGUCGAUCGAAUUUGAGGAAUUUUUGUGUAAUUUUAUUGUUUUGAUAUCUCUUUUAUCGUAUUAUUUUGUUGUAAUUUACAGGUGGUAGAUAAAUGUUGGUCGGCUUUGAGAAUUUUUUUUAGGUAAAUGUUAGGUUUAAUUGUAUUGUUUCAAAAAUAUCUCUGCUUUGAAAUUUUUUUUUUAUGUAAAAGUUAGGUUUAGUUGUAUUAUUUUAAUAUCGCUAUUAUCGUAUUAUUUUGUUAUAGUUUACAGGUGGUAGAUGAGUGUUGGACCGCUUUGAGUUAGAUUUAAUUGUAUUGUUUUGAUGUCUCUAUCAUUUUAUUGUUUUAUUGCAGUUUAUAGGUGGAAGAUGAAUGUCGAUCGGUUUUUAAAAAUAUUUUUGGUAAAUGUUAGGUUUAAUAAAUAAAUUUUCCAUCUUUACAUGCUCAAAAUAUAUUGAAUUUAAUUAUUGUAUUCAUGUUUAUUAUUUAAAUAAAUAUCCUAUUUAGUGUAACGUUUAAACUCAUUAAAGUGAGAUACACGUGGAAGGCGCAUACACCUAAACUAGUAUAUGGAUAAGCCUUGGUUUGGACUUCAAUUUUGUGGUUCUAUUGGCUGCAAAUUAUUCCAUAUGUGUUUGAUUAAUUGUUCUAAUAUCUAGAUUAUUGUAGUUUUUGUUUUAUUGCUAAUUGUUGUUUUUCUGCUUAAUACAAUUUGAUACCUCAAUUAUCGUAUUGUUUUAUUGUGGUUUAUAGGAUGGUUGAUGAAUGUUUGGUCAGGCUUUGAGGAAUCUUGUGAAAGGUUAGGUUUAAUCAUAUUAUUUUAUUGUAGUUUUGGAUUCAUUACUAUUUGUUGUCUCUUAAGUUGAACAAUGUAUCUGUUCAAAGACUAAUUCGAGAUUUAUUAUGAUAGCAUAAAUUUGUAGAUUUAUUUUGAUCUUUCUAUGAAUUUUAAGUUGCAAUGGUAUCUGAGGUUAGCAGGNNNNNNNNNNNNNNNNUAGGUCUAUUAUUCAGUAUUUAUUUAGCUAUAGUUAGUUUUUACGUGUAUAAGAAGGUGAAACUGAUAGUUGUUGGUGGUGUUGAGGUCACUGAUGUCAACUUAUAUCUUUUAUCUUGUCUAUGCCAAUUAAAUUUUGAUUCUAAAGUAAAAAUCUACGAAGAGCUCAUGGUGGUUAGGUGAUUGGGAGGAGAUCCGAUGUUCAUGGGAUGAGGAGUAGAUUCUGUGUUUUUCAAGAAUAUAUCCUAAUCAAAUCAAAAUUAUAAAAUGGUCUGGACUUGAAUAGACCACCAAAAGGAAUCUGGUAGGAGAUUCUUGAGGAACAAAUUUUCUUGUGAUUUGAAGUAAGUUUUUUUAAAUUUUAAUAUAUUCUUAAAAUUCACAACAAUAAAUUAUUAUUUAAAAUUGAUAGAAUUUAAUUAGAUUCUAGGUUAAGGCUACUACAAAGUCUUAAACAAUAACAAAAAAAAUUGCUUAUGCAAGGAGAAAAAGUAAGAGUAGACAAUUUAAUUAAGGUUUUCGUUAAUGUUUUGUCUUCAAUAUAUAACAACCAAAUACUCAGUAUAUUUCCAUCAAAUGGGCUAUGGGAAGGGUAAGUGUACGCAGUCCAUACCACUACCUCAGAAAUAUUUUAUCUUUAAUAUAUUUAAUAUAUAAUUUUAUUUAUUUGUUACUUAAAUUUAAUCAGCUGAGUCGAAUCCCAAAAUAUAAAGAUUUAAUUGGAUACUAUCCAAAAUUACAUCUAUAUCUUAGUAUAUUAAAUUAUUUGUAUAUGAAGAAAAUAUUUAACACUAAAGAAGAAAAAAUGAUUAGUCAUAUAUUUUAAUCUUCUUAAUUUGUUUGGACAAGUUAAUCUGAUGCUUAACUGAUGGUAUUAUAAAAUCACUAUUUUUAAUUCCAUUGGCUUUAUAACUUCAAAACUUUGAAUAAGUUGCUUUCAGAAGAAAAAAGUUACAAUUACUAUGUAUAUUAAAAGCUUAAAAUAUUUAGAUUUUCAUGUACUCUCUAGGAAAAGAACUACACUUUCUUUUUCAAAUAUAUAACAAUAAAGUUUAAUUGGAUAUCAAAUAUUAUUUAUGUAAAAACGAAUAUGCGCGAGAGUCUAAGUUCAGGUAUAAGAUAAAACUGGAGAUUUACAGCAUUCAUAAGUUUUCUUUGAUAUCAGGAUAUAUCAUUCUAUGUAAUUAUCUAUUUAAAUCUUAACCUUACUAGAGAAGACAUUAGAAGUAUAUAUAUAUAUAUAUAUAUUAGAAUAAUACUAAAUAUGAUGUAUUAGUAAUGCUAAAAUUAGUAAUGUUAUGAUUAGUUAUAUGUGAUUAAUAUGUUGAGAUUAUUUCAUAUUCACUGACAAUUAUGUACUUAACCAUGCUUAUUUCUAACCUCUAAGCUCUAAUCCAUACUAUAUUAAAAGUGUGCUCUUAGAAAUACUGUUUGAACUUUUUACCCUUCAUUAAGAGUUUCUGUUUUAAACAAAAUUAUUUUUUUCACUAUUUUUCUAAUAUUUAAGAGUUAAAAAUUAAUUAAAUAUUUAUAAUAAAACCUUUUCUUAUUAGAAGUCAUCAAAAUUAAUGACAACUAAUACUUUUUUCAUUAGUUUUAGAAUUCCAUAUCAACUAAAGUUGAUUUUAAGAAGAUUUGAGAAAUCUAGAAAUAAAUAUGAAAGCUUUAGAAUAAGAAAGAUAUAAGAAAAUAGCAAAGUUUUAAAAGUUUUAAGUAAUCAAAGAUUUUCUAAAAAUUUAACUUAAAAAAUAAGAAAAUAUUUUAAACAUAGAAAAAAAUAAUCGUACUACAAAUAUGAUUCAAAUCGAUGUGUCUCUCUUAGCCUCUAGUAGCAAGGAAAAGAGGUGAUGCAUGAAAAAUGCAAAAAUGACGAUCUAUUAACCACUAUGUACAUUAUUAUAUUAAUGUGUGAAGGAUUUUUGAGAAGUGAUUUGAACUUUUUCCACUUUAUUAAAAAUUUAUGCAAUAGACAAAAUUAUCUAAUUUUAAAUAAUCAAAAGUUACACGCGUGAAACACGUGAGAUUAAACUAGUAUGUAUAAUAUGUAUAUAAUCAUGUAUAAAUAACUGAUAAAGAUGUUAUUAUAUGAUUAGCGAGUCAUAAUUCAAGUUGUGAAGACAAAUCUCUAGUAAAAAAAUACAGGGUAAGGUUGCAUAUAGAUUCUUGUUGUUCAAUCUGUGCAUCGGACUCUCCUAAUCUUGUAUAAACAACAUAUAAUUUACGUAUAUCUAUUUAAAAUAAAUGAUAAAUUCAAUUAACUAAGAAUUUUUUAAAAAUAACCUCUCUACCUUCAUGCGGUAUUGGUAGGCCUAUAGUCUACUUACACUCUACCCUCUCUAAAUAUAAAUUCGAUCAGCUAUUUGCGUAAAGCUUUUCUUUCUCACUUUAAUGGGCCAAAAGUCCAAAUUCUCAAAUGCAAAACUCAAGCCCAAAAACCUAUUUCUUCAAUUUGAUAUUCAGCUUUCAUUGUCUUUACCAUCAACACAGUAAAGCGAUGGCUGCUUUGAGAAAAUUAUUAUUACCCAAAAAUACAAGUGUUGUAAUAUCAACCUCUCCAAUUUACCUUUCUCGUAGAGGCAUAGUUUCUAAGCUAUUUGUUGGAGGUAUUUCUUUCUAUUUUUAUUUUUUUUAUUUUUUUUUUAUAACACAUGUAUAGAUGAUUGAGUUUAAAAAAUUCAUAUUAAAGAGCUGAUUUUUGUAUUGAAUUUGUAAUUAUUUGAUAAAAAGGAUUAUAUUUUUUUGGAUUUUUUUUCCCCAUAGCUGUUGAUAGCGCUUUGUCUAGCGUUAGUUUUUUGUCCUUCGAUUUCUAUUAUUAUCUAUUGUUUCUUGUACCUCAAUUAUUGUAUUUUUCUUAAGCGGUUUCUGUUCUGUUACUAUCUGCUAUUUUUUAUACUAUUUGUUGUUUCUUGUACUUCCACGUUACUUAUGUUCUGGUACUAUCUGCUAUUUUUGAUAUUGUUUGUUGUUUCUUGUACUUCCGUGUUAUUUCUGUUUGUUACUAUCUGCUAUUUUUGAUACUGUUUGUUGUUUCUUGUACUUCCAAGUUACUUAUGUUCUCAUACUAUCUGCUAUUUUUUAUAUUGUUUGUUGUUUCUUGUACUUCCGCGUUACUUCUGUUCUGUUACUAUCUGCUAUUUUUGAUAUUGUUUGUUGUUUCUUGUACUUCCGUGUUACUUUGUUCUGAUACUAUCUGCUAUUUUUAGUACUGUUUGUUGUUUCUUGUAUUUCCGCGUUACUUCUGUUCUGUUACUAUCUGCUAUUUUUGAUACUGUUGUUGUUUCUUGUACUUCCACGUUACUUAUGUUCUGUUACUAUCUGCUAUUUUUUGAUACUGUUUGUUGUUUCUUGUACUUCCAUGUUACUUCUGUUCUGUUACUAUCUGCUAUUUUUGAUACUGUUUGUUGUUUCUUGUACUUCCGCGUUACUUAUGUUCUGUUACUAUCUGCUAUAUUUAAUAUUGUUUGUUGUUUCUUGUACUUCCGCAUUACUUAUGUUCCGUUACUAUCUGCUAUUUUUGAUACUGUUUGUUGUUUCUUGUACUUCCGCGUUACUUUGUUCUGUUACUAUUUGUAAUUUUUAGUACUGUUUGUUGUUUCUUGUACUUCCGUGUUACUUAUGUUUUGUUACUAUCAGCUAUUUUUGGUACUGUUUGUUGUUUCUUGUACUUCCACGUUACUUUGUUCUAUUACUAUCUGUUGUUUUUAGUACCGUUUGUUGUUUCUUGUACUUCCGUGUUACUUAUGUUUUGUUACUAUCUGCUAUUUUUGGUACUGUUUGUUGUUUCUUGUACUUCAGCGUUGCUUAUUUUCUUUUACUAUCUGCUAUUUUUCUUGUUUCCUGUAUUAGCUAGCAGUGUAUUAUCCCAUUUUGUUGUAUGUUUUUAUGUUAUUUUUUGUUGUACUGUUAUAUGUUAUAUGUCCUUAACCGGGGUCUAUCGGAAAUAGGCUCUCUACUUUAUCUGAGAGGUAGUGUGGACUGUGUACACAUUACCCUCUUCAGAUCCCGCUAUGUGUGAAUACACUGGGUAUGUUUUUGUUGUUUGUUGUUUCUUGUACUUCCGUAUCAGCUAUCAGAUUUUUGGAUUCCUGGUAUACUAUAAUUACCCCUAUUACAAUCUGAUUUGUUAUAAUUCUGUUAAGUUCCUCACCCAAGGAUGUGACCUAGUGGUCGAUGAAUUGGGUAAGAACCCUAAGGUCCUAGGUUCGAGUACCAAUGGAGACAAAAAAAAAAAAAUACAUGAUUUCUUCCUAUCUGCCCAAGCGUUGGUGGCUGAAACUACCCCGUACUUGUGUUGGUGGAGAUAGUUGUACUCAGUGGAAUUAGUUGAGGUGCGUGCAUGAUGGUCUGGACACUAUCAUCACAAAAAAGAAAUAAAAUCCUGUUAAAGUCAAUCUGCUAAUUAAUGUUUGCAAACUAAACUGAAUUCUAACAAUGCAGCUAUUCUUAUAGCUCGACAAACAGAAUAUCUAAUGUAAUUUCUAGGCAUUUAUGGCAUUUCAAAUAAAGAACACUAUGAAUCUUCAAAAGCUUGUAUAUGUAUAGAGUACUUGAUAUAUAUAUAUAUANNNNNNNNNNNUCAGCAGGUAUAAAUAAUCUUUAGCUAGAUAUCCGUAGCAGCCUUCCAAUUAACAACUCAUUGGACUGAAACAACAAUAGUCUGUCAGUUUUAUUGGUGGUCCGAAUUCUGUCUUGAUUGGAUCUGCUACAUAGUUAAAUGGCAUAUAUUAAUAACAAAUUGUCUGACAUGUGCGUGUUAUAUUGGUAUUUGUCCUGAGCUAGGGGUUUAUCUGAAACGGCCUUUCUACUUCAUCUGAGGUAGUGGUAUGGACUUCAUACAUUUUACCCUCCCCAGACCCCACUUUGUGGGAAUACACUGGGUAUGUUGUUGUAAAUUGUCUGACAUGAGCUAUCAAGAUCUUAAUUUUAAACUGCAGCCAAGCAACAUCAUAAAGCUUGUCCUCUGUUGCUAUUUUAGCUAGCAUGUAGUUUGUGUGUUUCAUGAUUUUAUGCUUGAUCACUUUCAUGAAACACAGAGAAGCCCAUUGAUUUGCUCACUUCACAAUGUGGAGUCUCUAAUUUUACUAGGACAGUAUUGUGAAUAAAAAUGGAAAAAUGUAUUUUUCCUGUUUUCUCAGAAAUAGUCGAUCAACUUAACACGGAAUUUGUUGACGUGCUGCUUCCUUAUCCUCGAUCAUUGUACAGCAGAUGGAAAAAAUAAGAAACAUGUACCACACUUUAUUAGGUUUUGAAGUUUAUUUUGUUAUCGGCAGAAACAAGUUGUUAGCAGAGGUACUAUCUCACAAAAAAAAUGUUAGUUGCUGGCGAACUGCGCUAGAGACUGUGUUAGUCUGACAAUCCCAUCCUAGUUACGUGAUAUGAAAGAGAAAUGAACAAUAUAGAAGAUCAUUAUCCAACGUAACAAGCUUAUGAGAUAUUGCUAUUUACAGGACUCUCAUUUUACACCACAGAGAAGGGACUGUCAGAGGCAUUUUCUCAACAUGGUCAAGUUAUUGAAGGUGCACAAACAAGUGAAUAACAUAGAUUGAUCUCUACUUGUGUAUAUAGUAUGAGUUAGCACCUUUAUUUUAACCUUGUUUUAUUUUCCAGCGAAAAUAGUGACGGAUAAAGUUUCAGAGAGAUCCAAAGGUUUUGGAUUUGUCACCUAUGCAUCUGAAGAUGAAGCGGAGAAGGCGUUGCAAGAAAUGAAUGGCAAGGUACAAAUCCAUAUUAUCAGUGUAUCUGUUGUUGAUGUCUACUAUUAUGUUCAUUAUCGUUCAUCUUUGUACGACGAAUGGUGCAGCCUCUCAAUGGACGCGUUAUCUUUGUGGACUACGCGAAGCCUAAAACUGAUGGGGGCGGUAUGCCAAUAGCCCGAGGUCCCCCCGAACCACCAGUAGAACAAUGAGAGUUAUCAAACACAGACCACUAUGACUCUUUGUGCUGCCGGAGUUGCAAGCCUUGCUCUUGCAAAAUGAUUCGUCUUAGCAUUUGGCCAGCAGUCAAGAACUACUCGAAUAUAUUGUAUUGUAUUUAGUCUAAAGCAGUUGGUUCCGGGCACUGUCUCGGAUCGUGACAAUAUGCAACCAACAAGCUUCGAAGCAUAGCGAAUUUUAUUGGAUAAAUUCAUAUCAAAAUUUGAAUUAAAUCUUAAAUUCAUGAUAUGGUGGCCAAAUUGAAUAAUUGAUUAAUAUAAUUAAAUUGACGUGGUAAUUUAAAAUUAUAUUAGUUAAUUGAAGUUUAAUUACACUUGGAUAUGCUCUGCUCUUCAUUUAUGAGUUUUCAUACCUCCACAGUUAUGAUAUUUCGCAUUCAUGGUGAAAUUCCAACAAAUAUUCCUCAAGAACAAAGCAAAGAAGAGGAGAAAUAUAAAAUAAAAUUUUUACAAAGAUCGUAACUCCACACAAAUUAUUAAAAUUGAAUAGUAGUAUUAUUUGUUGCUAGUUUUCCCAAAUCUUGGAUAGUAUUUCUCAGGAACAAAAUAGUAACACUAGGAAAAGUAACUUUCCAGCGUCGCGACAAAUGAUAAUAUUCACACAAUCAUAUCAUGUUAACAACAAAGUCAAAUACAAGUGUAACAUCCAACUUCAAACAAAAAAAUUCCAAUUCCAUUUAGCUUUUAUAGUAGUGAAAUCAGAAGGAAAAAAGCCACUACACAUACAUAUUGACUAAUUAAUCUGUCCUUUUGUCUGUUUGCUUUAUCCUGUUCAUAGCUUGUGAGUGCUUAUCUUCAGCCAACUUUGAAUUAACCUCACUCUUCUCCCUGAAGUACCUUUCAAAAGCCCGUGGAAGAAAUUGUGGAAUCAAGAAACCAAACAAAUUGACUGCAAAAUAAGCCAGAUUAACCACUGCUAGUCCCUUCCCAAACCAAUACCAUGUAACAUCCUGAAAAAUAACCCAAAAAAUUUUUACUUAAUACGAAUUUCAUGGAAUUAGCUUCUAAAAGAUUUGAAACAAGUUCACAAAUUCAAUAAAUUCUUCACCAAAAUCACAUUAGCUUUUUUUUUUUAAAAAAAAAAAUACAAUAAAUUCUUCACCAAAAUCACAUUAGCUUUUUUUUUUUUUUUUUAAAAAAAGUAAAAUCAAAGGUCUGGUCAUGUUGCAUGGGUUGUUGAGUUGACGAAUAUUUGACCUUCUUGACUCAGAUGCUAUUCGAGUCUAGCACGGGGUGUUGAGUUGUUGAUUAUCUGACCAUCUUGACUCGAUGCUAUUCGAGUCUAGCACGGGUUGGCAUGGGUUGUUGAGUUGACGAUUAUUUGACCAUCUUGACUCAAUGCUAUUCGAGUCUAGCACACUUCGGACGGGUUAACUCUUUGACCUUCUAAUUUAACCCCAACAACGGCCACAAGCUGUUAAACAGAUCCCCAUUUGAAUUUUGAUACCCCUCUAAAUUUUAAAAAAUGUGCAAGGCAUUAAACAAGAAGUACCUUGAAUAGUGCAUUCGCGGGCAAAGUCUUGUUGAUCCACACAUCUUGUAUCCAAUCGAUCAAGAUAAAGAUCCUCCGAACUGUAUAAAGUAGGGGAACCAGAGCUCGAACCGGAGGAGAAAAGAGGGGCAAUCCACUUAUAAUAUUCUCAGUUAGAAUUUGAAAAGAUAGCAAGAACAAGUGAGGCGUGGCAGAGCGAACCGCGUGUUGAUCACCCCUAGCAAAUCCACCUAAAACAUAUGCCAAUGGCAAGAACAAUCCAAUAGUAGUCCCAGCAACCACGUAAAUACGGAAAAACCUACCGCCCUGAAAUAUUUCCGGGGAAGGGGAAGUAGAAGUGGUCGUGCCAAGUGAUGGGAAGGCGAAUCGCGAAAGAACCAAAAGAUAUGCGGAUGCCAGAGCUGGAAAUAUUAGAUCAAGUAAAGGUACAAGACCACUGGCUGAGAAAACCAUAAUGAAAGCUACUAAUUGUAGCUCGAUGACUCGAAGCGGUCCCAUUACACCCACAACAGCUUGAUUUCGUUCCCUUCUUGCAGAAGAUGUCGUCUCAUCUGGCUCCGAACGAGGAGCCAUUGCUAAUGUUAUCCCUGACAUUUUAAUUGCCUUCAGAUUCUAGUUUUCCUGAAUUACCUGUAAUUCAAAAAUGAAAAAAAAAAAUUAACCUUCUUAGUACUAUGUGAUGAAAAGAUUUUAACCUUCAAUGAACCAAAGUGACUUAUUAAAAGUCACUUAUUUUUGUUUUGCAUUUAACAGAGUCACUUGCAAUUAAUUUAUCUACAAAGUCAUUACAACCAAAAGCUGAAGAUAUAACCUUAAGCUUGAUCUCUUUGUUCUUGUGAUACCCUCUCUUUUUUAAGAAAAUAAAAUAAAAAUUGAAACUAUACUUUUUAACCAAAUAUGAUUCAACUAUAUUUAAAUUUAUUUUUGUAGUCAAAUUCUUAAUAUAAAUAUAGAAAUCAAUCUCUUAAUACAAAUAAAAAAAACUUGGACUAAACUAUUGGAUUCGGUCGAACCUUUUUAGUAACCUUAACCUUUUCUAGCUCCGCCCCUAGUCUAAACCUUAAGCUCGUACCCAUGAAGGGAAGCUAUUCAAUUGGGUCAGUAUACGUGCCAAGUGUUCAAUAUCCACUCAAUCUAAAUUUAUUGAUUGGAAACUAACAUGUUGAAACAGAGCUUUUCUAUGGUUCAGUUUAGUUUUAAGCGCAUAUGAAUUAUAUGCCGUAUCUGAUGAUUGAGUGAUGAGGAAACUCAAUCAAUUAAUGCAACCGCAGAUGCUAUGUUGCUAUGUUUCAAUUCUCGAUUCUAAUAUUAAGCGAAAAGUUAUGCCUAGAGUUUCACUACUCUUAGCCUCUUUAGUUUAUUUGUUUCUUCUCUCAACCAAUGUCCAAAACUUUACUCAUGUGGGAACAUGCCAAGUAGUACUAUUGUUCUACGUUUUUAACCACUUGAAAACUGCUCGAUAAGAACGAAUCUUUUUGAUAGAAGCAAUGUCCACUGGACCAAGAAGCUAAUAUAAAGAAUCUAAAGAUAUUGAAGGAAUAUUAACAUCUUCAUGCAUGCAUAAAAUAGCAAACCAUGUACAACUCAUUUCAUUUUAGUGUCUUCACAGGCACUAGCAAAGGUAUUUGCAAGUUGAACUUUUUUACAAUAACUCACCAUCCUUCCAUCAUGGUCUAACUUCGGCAACAAAGAAGAUUCCACGCGUACGUCAUGAUUAAAAUAAUGGACCCAAUUAUAUUUUGUUGGUCAUAUUGUGUCAAUGAAAUUAAGAAAUAAGGAUCUAAACAAAUUAGACCCUCUAUUCAAAUUUAUGUGACACGGUUCGCUUCUCGAUUUUCAAACAAGAUAUGUUUGACCAUGGAAAAUCAUCAAUUUUUGUAAAAUAAAAUUUAUAUAGUUAAAAACUACGUAAAAAAAAAAAAAAGUAUAAGUUACAAUAAUUAACUAUUCAAAAUAUUUGAAACAUAUGUGAAAAGUUACUGUUAAGAUAAACAUAUUUGAAUUUCGUAAUGUAAAUUUGGACGGAGUAGGAAGUAAAGUUUCUCACCUCUUCAUAGGAGAAAGUGUCUGAACUCUUUCAGACGAAACUUCGGACUGCAAAAAUAAUAGAGCAAGAAAAUGAAAUAAAUAAAUAAUAAAAAAAAAAAGAAGUAAAACUUAAGUAAUAGAUAAAGUAGUACGUAGCAAGAAAAUCAGUAUCAAACGUGCUAUUGAAAAACAAAAGAACUAAUAGACAUAAUGCAUCUUUUGAAUGUGAUAUAAUACAAUUACAACCAACGAAUUGACAAAAUAAGAGCGAACUAAAUAUACCACUCCACUCCUUCCGUCUCAUUUUAUCAUUUUAUGUGAAAUACUUUCCUUAUUAGUACUUCCCAAAAAAUGUCACUUAAUAUAAUUAGGAAAAAAAAGUCAAAUUUUAAAAUUUUCCUUUAUAUUUAAUAAAAUAAUUUAUAAUCGGACAUACUUAAUAAAAUGAUUUAUCACCAUACAUAUUCAUGGAUAUUUUGAAUCAGAAAUUUCAAAAAAAAAAUAAAAUAUUUACCCUAUCAAGUCAAAGUAUGUCGCAUAAAAUAGAUGGAGAAAGUAAUUUCUAAUGUUACAAGCAGUUUGUAAGGUUCUAUGCAUCCCUAAUUACUGAUAAAAAUUUUCAACUCACUAAUAAAUACUGAAAAAAAAAAAAAUCCUAACCGUACAAAUCAAAUUCUGAAAAAUCAAACUUAAAACUUAAAAUAAUUAAUAUCAUAUUACCUUAGAAAGAAAAAUUAAAGCCAGAGAUGAAGAGUUUACAUGAGAAAUUUUGGAAGUAUAUAUAGAUGCAGAAAAGUGUAGAAGGUGACUACCUUGUCUUGGUUCUCCCACCCAAUUUACACGUGUAAUGCUCUAAUCAAAUUUACUUAAUGCAUAGACACGUACUGAGCUACCUAUUUUGGAAAGACAAAAUUCUCCUUAAUUUGAAAUGUAUAGACACCAUGAGUCCGGAACCAAAAUAUGUCCUACAACUAAAAAAAGUAUCAAUUUAUGUCAUAUAGAAAAAAGUAUCAAAAUAGAUUUUGUGCACUUAUUAAUAUACAAUACCUUUAAAUUUUUAACGAAAGACGUCUGACGAUAAAAGUGAAAGUUCACAUUGUGCACUUAUUAAUGUCACACCCCUUUUUAGUCCGAGGAGAUCGAGUUCGAAGGAUUAUUCCUAUUAAAGUGACGGUAUUGAAUAGGGAUUAAUUUAUUACAAAGUCGUCACUUGAAAUUGAGUUAUGGUGUUCCAAGUCACCUUUUUUGAAUCCCUAAUCAAAAGAAAAUGACUCUUUGUUGGUCUGCGAAAACAGAAGGACGGAUAAGGAAUUCUAUUGACAGAGGGGAAGGUGUAAGGCACCCCUCGAGUCCCGUGAUUCUAGCACAGUCGCUUUUAUUGAUUUAUCUUAACUUAAACUAUUUUGACAUAUUAUGUUAGUAGGCCUUAGUUCUCUCAUUUUUAAUUAUACUAUAACUUGUCUAUUAUCUUAUAUUAAAUAAAUCGUGUGAAAAUUAAUUUUAGAAAAAUGUUUACCAAAGUACAUUUUUGCAUCCUUGAAUUUUAAAAUAUCUCGAAAGAUGCGUACGCCGCAUUCUUUAUUAAGAUAAAUAUUUAAAAAUACUUAAAAAAAUUUCUAGCGUUAAAGGCGUUGGUUUGUCUCUCAUAAAUUUGAGUUGCUAAACUUACUCAUUUUUUAUUCUUUUCUUUCAAACCUUGGACUAAUCUGCAACUUGUUUGCUCCCUUACAAUAUUUCUCACUCCCUCUUCUUUUGUUAUUUGUGAUAAGUCUGAAAAAAUUUAUAAUCUAUCUCAUUCAUUUUUCAAAAAUUGUCAAAAAGAUAUUUCGCUAAACAAUUUUAUUUCUAUGUUGAAACUUAAUUUAUUUUUAAAAAUAAAAACUUAUUUUCAUCCUUCUCACAUGACUAAAUGAUAAUUACGGAUAAUAAUACGCAAGAAAAUUCAUAUAAUUAAGUGGAUAAAUCAUUAAAGAGAUAUGGAAUAAGAUAAGAAGUCUAGUAGUAAUCUAAGAAAAUACCUAAUGCAGUAGUUAUCAUAUUAAUUAACAUAUUAAUGACUAAAUUAAGAAUGAUUUACGUUGAAAUAUUUCUUUAACCACUAAAUUUUUAAUUCCUGUCAAUUCAAUAUAUAUACAUGAAAACUACAUUUAAGCCACUGAUUUCAUGACUUUGAAAUGCUUAAAAUUUAGGAAUAAUAAAACAUACUAAAACACAUUACAAAUAUUAAAACAAACAAACUGCAUGUGACCAAGAAAAAGAAAAAUAUAAAAAUACAGUCAUACUUACACUCCUAUAACUAAGUAAAUUUAGCAUGUCAACUUCACGUAAAUUCAUUACUCUAACAUUAAUAGACAUUUAAUAGAUGAUUAGGAUUCUUGUUUCUAAAUGAUAUGAAAUAAUUACUACUUUCCCAACUUAUAUGUAUUCGUUGUCGCGCAAAAUGGAUCAACUACAAACUCAACAACUACUAAAUAACAUUAAAAAAUUAAAGUAGAGGCAAAAUUGAACUUUUGACAGACGAUCAAUCUUUACACAUCAAAUGGCACAUGAAAUCAUCAAAAAUAGCUUCGUUCAUAUUUCAGUGACAUAAUUAUAACAAAAAUAAAUAAACAGGGUUUAAAUAAGAACCUGUUUGAUGAACUAGACUAAAUAUAGAAGCAAGAACAUCAUCACCGAUAACUUGAACGAAAAUCCAAACUCAACUAUCUUCUUUUCUCUCUUUCGUCUGAUCUUCUUCAAAGUUUUUUUUAUUGUGUUUUCUCUCUGUUAAUUUUUCUUUGUUUCUUUGUUUUUCACUCUGUUAAAAUGUCUGAUGUUUAACUGAUAAAAAAAAUAUGUAGAAUCCUAGAGGGUGUGAGAGUCCUAUAAAUAGGAAAUUAUUGGGGGGGAGGGGGGGAAUAGGGGAGGGAACAGUUACUUAGGAUAGGAAUGUGUUUUUAAAUUUUGAAAUAAAUUCUUAUAUUAUUAUUAUCUUAAAUAGAAGAUUAUAAAAAUAAUAAUAACUAUAAUAGUAACAUUUAAUUAAUUUUAUGUUUAAGAAAAAUAUAAUAAAAUUUACAAAUAGUUAAAAUAAAUAAAAUAAUACCAAAAUUAUCAAUUUAUUAAAAUUUAGAAAAUAAGAAUAUAUAUUUUAUUUUAUUAUUAGUUUGAAUAUCUCAAAAUUAAAUUUACUUAAUUAUUUAUUUUUAACUAAAAAUUUAUUAAAAAUAAAAAUAAUAAUCAAAAAAUAAUAUAUGAUUAAAUAUUUAAAAUUUAGAGAGGAUAAAAAAUCAUGUGUCUAUAUUUUUGUCCCUCUUUGUGUAGAAUCUCAAAGAGUUUUCAUACAAAGAAGUAGACAAGACAUGAUUUUUUACCCUUCAAUUAUUUGAAAGGUAAGGAUAAAAUAAAAUUAAAAUAAAAGAAAACAAUGUGACCGAGUCCCGUUUUGGGACAGGCUACCUAUCCCGGAUUAAAGGGAAUCAGAUCACGAGUAGUUCAAAAGUAAUUUGAUGAGAGAAAAAUUUAAAGUCGAGUGGGAUUCCAUCGAGUUUUCGGUUGACGACUUUUGCCUUUACAUUCAAUCCCGUCGAGUUUCCGGUUGACGACUUUUGCCUUUACAUUCAAUUGACUAAUAAAGAUCAAAAACGAAAAAUACAAAAAAUUGCAAUCUUUAGAAUCUUGAUUCAAACCUUCGUGACUUGAAUAUAAAAAUUCACUCUAUUCUUCAGGCGGGCUCCUGGACUUACAACUUCUUCACCCUAUUCUUCAGGCGGGCACUUGGACUUUCAAUUUUUUCACCCUAUUCUUCAGGCGGGCUCUUGUACUUCCAAUUUGUUCACCCUGUUUUUCAGGCGGGCUCCUGAGUUAUAACUUCUUUAUCCUGUUCUUCUGACGGGAUCCUAGACUUUCUUUUUCUUCACACUGUCCUUCAGGCGGGCUCUUAGACUUACAAUUUCUUCACCCUGUUCUUCAAGCGGGCUCCUGACUUGCAACUUCUUCACCCUGUUCUUCAGGCGGGUUCCUGGACUUCCAAUUUCUUCACCCUGUUCUUUAGGCGGGCUCCUGGACUUACAAUUUCUUCACCCUGUUCUUCAGGAGGGCUCCUAGACUUCCAAUUUAUUCACCCUGUUCUUCAGGAGGGCUCCUAGACUUACAACUUCUUCACCCUGUUCUUCUAGCGGGCUCCAAGACUUAUAAUUUCUUCACCCUGUUCUUCAGGCCGGCUCCUGACUUGCAACUUCUUCACCCUGUUCUUCAGGCGGGCUCCUAGACUUACAAUUUCUUCACCUUGUUCUUCAAGCGGGCUCCUGACUUGCAACUUCUUCACCCUGUUCUUCAGGAGGGCUCCUGAACUUCCAAUUUCUUCACCCUGUUCUUCAGGCGGGCUCCUGAACUCAAAGCAAAUAGUUAAACAGAAAAAUAACAUCCCAUUCUUUUGGAGGGUCCUGGAUAUAAAAUAAAUUUCCAUUCUUCAGGAGGGUCUUGAGCAAAAAAUAAAUUCUCAUUCUUCAAGAGGGUCCUGAGAAAAAAAUAAAUUCCAUACAACACAUAUAAAAUUUUUGUUCCAGUUUGUACUGAAAAAAUUUAUGUGUCACUGAAUCUUAAUAUAUCUCACAAAGAAUAAAGUUUAUCAUGACCGAGAUCCAGUAUCGGAUGCUGUAACCAUGCUUCUUGCAUUGAGAAGUGUGAACGCAUCCUUUAUCUGAAAACAAUUAUUUCAUCUCUGUUCCAAACAAAAAAAAUUGUGAGUUUUAAAACAUAUAGUGGUUGGUUUGUGGCAUUCAGCUUUUGAAGUAGCCGCUCUUUCACUUGCCAUACUCAACUCUUUUCUAAUCCAUGAUAAUAUUCAUUGAAUUGUCAUACUUCUGACUCAGAAUUCUGACUACUGAAAUCCUCAACUCAAAUCAUAUUUCUGUUGCAUGAUGCUUCUGAGUUUAGCUUUCAAUACAUCCCUUAGAUUUUCACGAGUUUAAAAUGGUCAAAUCACAAUCAUCUUGAGUACCUUACUUUUACUUUGAAACGUUGUUUCUAUGUAUCGACCCUUUGUCUUGCUUUGUACCCUUAAAGGAGUUGGUAGCGAGUUUGGAGUCCUUUCUCACUUGACCUGACGUGAAUUUAACUCAAAAGACAACAAAAUUUUUUUGUUUGAUGACAAGGACACAAAAAAUCAAAAAUUAAAAUAAAACAAAAAGAACAAGACAAUAGGCAUCUCUUUUUUAAAACAAAGAGAAAACAUAUCGGAAUGUAGAAACCAAUUCUGGUUAUUAUGACAUGCAUUUUGAAUCAAACAACCAGAUCUACCCACACCAAUCAUUAUAACUUUUGUCCACUUAUUGAGCUUGAAAUUAAGUCAAUCUUGAAUUUGUUCCUUCUUGAUAACAACCUUUCUUCGACUAGUGGCACCUCAAUGGGUUUUUACCAACAAGCCUAUUUCCUUUUUAUUUCUGCCUCAGCUCACAGUCAUCUUAUGGUGCCUGAAAGGGUUUUCACCAAUAAGACUCUCUCAUUUUCAUUUCUCAUCAUUUUUUUUAAAUAAACACCCAAAAUAUGAAAUAUCAUGCACCCAUAACAUGGUUAGCCUUGACAUUCUCAAAGAUUGAUCCGAAGGCCUUUCUUUGAUUGUAACUUGACUUUUGGAUAGGGUUAGAAAGAAAGGUCGGUAUGAGACUCAAAAAUUUAUAUAACAUUAGGUGAAACAUACAACUUUUAGAAUCGAUUCUUGUAAGAAAAUAAAUUUUUACCCCAAUUUCAUUUCAUUCUAGGUAAUUUGAAUUUUCUUCUGGUUAGACCGAACCCCGGAGUAGGGCUGCCUACGUAUCUUGUCAUAGCAAGAAUCAGGUCAAACGUAGUUCAUGCAACAUCAUUCUUUUGUUUGAUUUUGAAUUUUUGAUUGAUUUCUUCUUCUUCUUCUUUUCAACUUUUUUUUUCAAAUUUUCUGACUUUAAUUUGAUUCCAAAAGAGGGGUACGAUGAAAAAUAAAAGCUCAAAGGGGUAAGCAAAGGUUGAUAUAUUAUUCGAAUAGUAGAACAAAAUGCCUUCAUCAUUUCAAAUCUUUAAAAAUGUAAGUACAAAACAUACAUAACAUAAUUGUACAUGAAUAUCAGACAUAAUAUCUUUUAACUGCAUCAACAUUGACCGACAUUCCUUUUAUUUUUCCUUCUACAUCAGUCAGAUAUAACGCGCCAUUAGGUAACGCUUUCUUCACCAUGAAUGGCCCAUGCCAAUUAGGAGAAAGAUUGCCUUUGGCUUUAAUCUGAUGAGGUAGAAUACGUCUUAGUACCAACUGACCAACUUCAAAAUAUCUGUGACGCACCUUUUUGUUAUAUUCUCGUGCCAUUCUAUUCUGGACGUCAAUCUUUUUUCAUCAAUCAAGCUUAAUUGCUCCAAACGAGUCUUGACCUAUUGGUCUUCAUCAAUUUCAGCUUCCACAACUACUUAAAGAGAUGGAAUCUCAAUAUCUGUAGGUAUAACUGCUUCAGUUCCAUACACUAACAAGUAAGGAGUUGCACCAAUUGAAGUCCGAACUGUAGUAUGAUAACCCAACAAAGCAAAAGGUAACUUUUCAUGCCAUUGUCGGGAACCUUGCACCAUCUUGCGAAGUACUUUCUUUAAGCUCUUGUUGGCAGCUUCUACAGCCCCAUUUUCUUUUGGGCGAUAAGGAGUGUAAUUUCGAUACAUAAUCUUAAAUUAUUGGCACACUUCUUACAUCAAAUGACUGUUGAGAUUUGUAGCAUUAUCCGUGACAAUUAUCUGAAUGCCGAACUGACAAAUGAUGUUAGAGUGAAUAAAAUCAACCACCACUUUCUUGGUCACUGACUUAAAAGUUGUUGUUUCCACCCACUUCAUGAAAUAAUCAAUGGCUACCAAGAUGAACCUAUGUCCAUUCGAGGCUUUUGGUUCAAUUGGUCCAAUUACGUCCAUUCCGUAAGCCACAUAAGACCAUAGAGCAGUCAUUGAAUGCAACUCAGAUGGACAAGAAUGAAUAAAGUUUCCGUGUACCUGGCAUUCAUGAUAUUUCCAAACGAAAUUGAUGGAAUCUCUCUCCAUGGUGAGCCAAUAAUAGCCUGCUCGGAGUAUUUUCUUUGGCAAAACAUACCCACUCAUGCGUGGUCCACAAAUCCCAGAAUGUACUUCAGUCAUGAUUUUUGAAGCUUCUUUAGCAUCUACACAUCUCAAAAGUCCCAAAUCAGGAGUCCUCUUAUACAAGAUUCCUCCUCUUCGGAAAAAUCCACUAGACAAACGUCUAAUAGUUCUCUUUUGAUUACCAUCAGCAUGUACAGGAUAUUUCCCAGUCUGAAUAUAUUCUUUGAUAUCAUAGAACCACGGUUCUCCAUCAAGUUCUUCGUCAACAACAUUGUAAUAUACAUAUUGAUCAUAAAUUUGUAAAUGCAAAGGAUCAAUAUAAGUUUUGUUGGGAUGUUGAAGCAUCGAAGAUAAGGUCGCUAAAGCAUCAACAAUCUCAUUAUGAGCUCUAGGAAUGUGUUUGAACUUAACUGAUACAAAUUGUUGACAAAGAUCUUGCAAACAACCUCAAUACGGUAGGAGUUUCAAAUCACGAGUCUCCCAAUCUCAUUGGAUUUGGUGGACUAAUAAAUAUGAAUCUCCCAAUACCAACAGUUCUUGGAUUCUCAUGUUAAUAGCUAAUCUCAAAACCAGAAUGCAAGCUUCGUAUUCUGCCAUAUUAUUGGUACAAUAGAAUCGAAGUUGGGCUGUUAUAGGAUAAUAUUUUCCUGAUUCAGAAAUAAGAACUGCUCCUAUCCCCACUCCUUUUACAUUAGCAGCUCUAUCAAAGAAUAACUUUUAGCCUGAAUGACAAUCAGCAGAAAUAACUUCAUCAACAUACAAUACCUCUUUAUCUGGAAAAUAAGUCUUCAAUGGCUCAUACUCCUCAUAAAUAGGAUUUUCAUCUAAAUGAUCCGCCAAGGCUUAAGCUUUCAUUGCAGUUCGUGUCACAUAAACAAUAUCAAACUCUGUGAGCAACAUCUGUCAUUUUGCGAGUCUGCCUAUAGGCAUAGGAUUUUGAAAAAUAUACUUUAAAGGAUACAUACGAGAGAUAAGGUAAGUAGUAUAAGAUGACAAGUAAUUUUUCAUCUUUUGGGCUACCCAAGUUAAGGCACAACACGUCUUCUCAAGAAAAGUGUACUUAGCCUCAUAAGUAGUAAACUUUUUGCUGAGGUAGUAGAUGGCUUGUUCUUUUCUGCCCGUAACAUCAUGUUGACCAAUUACACAGUCAAAAGAAUUUUCUAACACAGACAUGUACAAUAUCAAGGGUCUUCCUGGCUUUGGAGGAAUCAAAAUUGGCGGAUUCAAUAAGUACCUCUUAAUUCUAUCAAAUGCCUCUUGACAUUCUUCAAUCCAUUCAACUUUAGCAUUCUUCUUCAAUAACCUGAUAUUGGCUCACAGGUUGUUGUAAGCUGAGCAAUGAAUCUACUGAAUAGCUUUUAUUUUUAAAGGAUCUAACUCAAUGCCACGUCGGCUAACUAUAAAACUCAAAAGUUUUCCUGAUGGAACUCCAAAUACACAUUUUGUUGGGUUAAGUUUGAGAUCAUACCUCCAAAGCCUUUCAAAGAAUUUUCUCAAAUCUUUGACAUGAUCAGAUUUCUCUCACGACUUAAUGAUCACGUCGUCCACAUAAACUUCAAUCUCUUUGUGUAUCAUGUCAUGAAAUAUUGUGGUCAUUUCCCUCAUGUAAGUUGCCCCAGUAUUCUUUAGUCCAAAAGGCAUGACUCGAUAAUAAUAUGUCCCCCACGGCGUAAAAAAUGAUGUCUUCUCCGCAUCUUCUGGAUCCAUAAUGAUCUGGUGAUACCCUGCAUAACAAUCCACAAAAGACGCAAGAUCAUGUUUGGCACAAUUAUCCAACAAAAUAUGAAUAUUAAUAAGUGGAAAAUUUUCUUUCGGACUCGCCUUAUUUAGAUCACGAUAAUCAACACACAUUCGAACUUUGUCGUCCUUCUUUGGAACAGGGACAAUAUUUGUCAACCAAGUAGGAUACUGGGCCACUCGAAUGACUUUAGCCUCAAGUUGCUUCGUGAUUUCCUAUUUAAUUUUUACACUCAUGUUAGUUUUGAGCUUUCUUAGCUUUUGCUUGAUAGGUGGAAAAACAGGAUCAAUUGGCAAUUUGUGAACUACCAAAUCAGUGCUCAAAUCGGGCAUAUCAUCAUAAGAACACGCAAAGAUGUCUUUAUACUCAUGUAAAGCUUCAAUUAUAGCUUUAUUUUGUUGUGGUUGAACAUGUACACUUAUCUUAGUCUCCCUAAUAUUUUCAUGAUUGCCUCAGUUACUUUCAAAUUGGGAUUUGUCUUAUUCUCAAAUUGUUUGAAAUCUUUGCUUAUAUCCUCAAAUGUUUCUCCUGCAUCGUAUUCAACUUCUUUAUUCAUUAUUUCAUAAUUAGAUUGAGUUUUUAAAUCUGGUUGACAAUUCUUCAUGCAUGUCAUAUCAUUAGAUCGACAUUGAAAGAACUGUAUGAUAGAAGAUAAAUAAAUAAAAAUCAGACUCAAAAUAAAACAAAGGAAAACUGGGCUUUAUUAAAAACAUAGAUAGAAAGAGUUUUAACCUAAAAUACCAAGUUUAAAGUUCUGAAUUACAAUCCUAGAAUGAUUCAAAUUACAGGAGUAAAAACAAACAAACUACUAAGACUGUAAGAAAAACAAACAAACAACCAAGACUCCUUUAUAAUAGGGAGAAGUGUGGCCUCCCAAUUGUUAAGCUGGAAAUCAGGGCCGACAAACUGCACAUCUACAUUGCUGGUGCCUUCCCCAAUUUCAACCAUAUCAGCUUCAAUGAACAUAUUCUGAAAAAGGCCAAUCAACUCUAUAUCAUCAUCAUUCAUUGAUUCUGCAGCAGGUAACUUGGAGGAUCCAACAAUACUGAAUUUGAUAAAAGACUCGUGAAGUGGAGGUAUCGGCUUGGUAAGUGACCAUGAAUCUUUUUUACACAUUUUAGCCUUCUUUAUAUCUUCAGCAGUAGGCUCGUAUCCCAAACCAAAAGUACCAAAGUUCUCAUAGAGGUUUAUCGGAUGAACUAUGCCUAGCAAAAACAUCCCUAGACCUUUUCCUGGUUCGAAACCAUGCUUCAAUAUUUCAUUCACUACCAUAACAGAUGCAGAGGACAAUUGUUAUCUCGCGAUGAUAUUACCCUCGAGGAUAUGCUCAACAGCCACUACCUCAGAAGCUUGAUGAAUUAAUACAUUAUCUGUAGCAUUUUCUUCGAUGGAGGAAACGAAGUAGUCUUUAUACGUGGAUAAAUCUCCUUCACCUUGAACAAUUAUUUCUUGCCUGCCAUGUUCAAAUUUGACCAUUUGAUGCAACAUUGAUGAGACUGCUUUAGCCCUAUGAAUCCACGGCCUUCCCAAUAACAUAUUAUAUGAAGUUUCAAUAUUCAGCACAUGGAAAUCCAUAGCAAACUCCACAGGUCCAAUUGUCAAUAUGAACUCUAUUUCACCAAUGACAUCAGUUUUUGAUCUAUCAAAACCUUUGGCGCAUACAUUAUUAGGUCGGAUCCUUUCCACAUUAACAUUCAACAUUUGAAAAGUUAACAUAGGACAAAUGUUAGCGCCUGAUCCUCCAUCAAUUAAUACUCGAGUGACGAUGGACUGUUCACAUUUCACAGAAAUGUACAGACCUUUGUUAUGCUCAGUACCUUCCAUAGGCAAUUCAUCGUCUGAGAAAGUAAUUUUGUUGCUUUAAGGAUCCUUCCAAUAACUUUUUUCAGCUGAUUCACUCUAAUCUCACUGGGGACACAUGCUUCAUUAAGAAUCUUCAUUAUAGCCUUGCGGUGUUCCUCUGAAUGUAUCAAUAAAGAAAAUAAAGAAAUCUAUGCUACUGUCUUCUUCAACUAUUCUACAACAGAAUGUUCUGGCAAUUUCAUUUUCUUUAAGAAUUCUUAGCUUCUUCAUCAGUGACAGGAUUCUUGACUGUCAUUCAUUCUUCACCGCCUUGUUUAUUCUUUCUUAACUCUACUGGAGCAUAACAUCUUCCAGAUCGAGUCAAUCCCCCUAUUUCAUCUACUUUUUCAGUCACUUUUUCCCUUUUGUGCAUCACCACAACGCGAUCAUAAUUCCAAGGAAUUGCGUUAGUAUCAACCAUAAGCAGUUGUGACACUGGUUUAAUAACAACAUAAGCUAUGGGAGCUCUUUUUAUGAUUAAAAGAGGCUUAUUAGAUCUUCCAGGAAUAAUGAGUUUCGGCUUUAUUUAACUUGACGCAAUAUUUUCUGAAAUCUCUUUCCCCACCACCAAGGGAGCAUUUGAUGAUUCGGGCUUUGUUAUCACUACCUCUGCUUCUGCAGGUUUUUCUUUUGUCAAAUCCAUAGCAUUUGCUGAUUUUUCUGAAUCAGUUUUAAUUUUAAUGAUCGACUUAAAGGAAAUCGUAGCAUCUUCACCACUGAGUAUCACUUCGAGCAUGUUUGUUUCAUUAUGAUCUGGCUACGGAUUUUGAUUAACAUUUGGAGCGUAUGGACUUUCUACCAUGAUCUGUUGGGUAUUGAUCAACUCUUGAAUGAAUCUUUUCAGAUACCAACAUUUCUCUGUGUCGUGCCCUAGGGUAUCAGAACAGUAUUCAAAUCUUCUAGAAUAUUCCAAGUUCUUUGGAGGAGGGUUCGAGGUCCUUCUCUUAAUUGGGUUUAGAGCAUUCAUUUUUCUCAACCUAUAAAAUAAACUGGUGUAAGAUAUUCUAAUAGGAGUGAAAUUAUCUUUUACCAUGUUAUCGCUUUUGAAUUCUACUCUAGGCUGAAAAUUAGACCUAUGAGGGCCUUUUUGAAUUUGCGGGGCCAUUGGAUGAUUUUUGAUUGCUGGUGCACGCCACUGCAGCUAAAAAGGAGCCCGAGCAUUUGAUUAUACAUUAUAAAUAGGAUAUUGGGGGGAUGGAACAAAAUAUAAUGACUUUUAUGCUUAUGGUUGAUGCGCACCUCUCCAAUUUUGUCGUGGACCUGUCACGAUAGUUGCUACAUUAUCUUUUCUUUUCUUUCCCCCGAAACUUCCUGUACCACUUUGAAUUGUCUGUGUUGUUGCUUUCAAAGUGGCCUGGCUGAUAAUCUUUCCUGACUUGAUUCUAUUUUCUAUUAUCUCUCCAACUUUGAUAACUUCGGCAAAUGUGCUUUCGAUAGUAGAGAGCAAAUGAUGGAAAUAAUCAGGCUCUUGUGCUUGCAGAAAAAUAUCAAUCAUUCCAUAUUCUUUUAUCGAUGGUCUGACUUUUGAAGCUUGCUCUCUCCAUCUAACGACAUAUUCUCAAAAACUUUCAGUCAUUUUUUUCUCAUGUUGGCAAGCGUAGUGCGAUCUGGCACUAUCUCAAUGUUAUAUUAAAAUUGUUGAAUGUAAUCCCGAGCUAUGUCAUUCCAUACGUGCCAACGGGAAAUGUCUUGAUCAAUGAACCAUUCAGAAACUAUCCAUGUAAGGCUUUCUCCAAAGUAAGCCAUCAAUAAUUCUUCUUUUCCUCCUACUCCCUUUAAUUGAUUGCAAAACUUUUUCAAAUGAGCUACAGGAUCACCAUGUUCUUCAUAUUUGUAAAACUUUGGCAUUUUGAACCCUAUCGGCAAAUGGACAUCAGGAAACAUAAACAAAUCCUUGUAUGAAACACUUUUUGGUCCACCUAAUCCUUGCAUAUUUCUCAUACUCUGCUCCAAGCUUCUAACUUUUCUAGUCAUCUCCUCCUGUUCCUCAUUCUUAGCAAUCUUCUCAAUCACGAUAGGAGUAUCGUGUUGAUGAACAUGAUAAGGUGGAUUUUGAGAUUUGAAAGUCAUUUCAGGAGGAUAUAACAUAUCAUGACUUGGUUUUCCUAUAUUAUUUGGCACUGUCGGUUGAGUACCCGUAGCAGCUGGUGCUACAGAAGUAAAAAUUGGGUUAUUUGUGACAGACGAAUUCGGUGGGUGCAUAGUAGAAGUAUCAACAACUCCAGACAUAUUAGCAAAUAAGCCAAAUCCUGGUGGGGAAAAUUGAUCACUAGUUCAAGCUGGGUCAGAAUUUGGAUCAUUCGAAGUCGAAAGUCCAGGGAUUGAAGAAGGCGGGGCUUGUCCAUUCAACCAAGCUUGGUACUUCUCUGCCAUCUGUUGUUUUGAUGACUUUAUUUCUUCCAUUGAUGCUACUUCCUGCGAAAUCAACUAAUUUUGGUCUUCUUCACUGUCAGACCCUAUACCUUCUCUGCGGGUUAUUUUUGUUUUACCCUUGUAUCUGGUAUUAUACGGAUGUGAUGCCAGUUUAAACCACAAACCAACGACCAAUUACUUUAUCUUUCUGUAACCAAGUAGCAAACGGGUGAGUGUUAUAUUUUUAAUACAUUAUAAUGCCAAGUUAUAUGUCAUGCUUCUAUAUGCAUUUUCCAACCUAUCAUGGAAGACUUUGUGUUUAAUCCCGGCUUUUCUAGGCAUAUUUUAUCAAAAGUUAUGAUCAAACCCUUUGGAGGGUUGCCUACGUAUCAUGCCAAGACAUGAAUCAGAUUUUGCGUAGUUCGAAAAAAAUUGAAGAUACAAAGAAACAUAUCCUUUUUUUUAAUUAUUUGAAUAAUGAGAAACAAUUUAUUAUUAUUAUUUUUGAAUUUAUAAAAAAAAAAAAUUAUUUUUGCAUUUUUUUUAUUUAGAAGGAAAUACAAUCAUUUUUUUAAGAUCACCGAAUCCAUUGAGGAUUGCCUACGUAUCUCACUAAGAUGAGAACCAGGUGUGCAUAGUUCUUGAAAAUUAUGUCAUACAAAACUCAGCCUCAAGACCCCUAAAGGUUCAGGGCUAUUAAGAUUUAUUUAUAUUUUUUGUAAAAACUUAGCCUCAUGAUCCCUAAAGAUUCAGGGCUAUUGAGAUUUAUAUAUUUUUUUUAUUUUGUAAAACUUAGCCUCAUGAUCCCUAAAAAUUCUGGGCUAUUAAGAUAUAUAUAUAUAUAUAUAUAUAUAUAUAUAAAUUGAACUUGAGAAUAAGAAAAAUAAUUAUGAAAGUAAUCAUAUUUUCAAAACAUUCUCCAAUAAAUCUAUGAAUAAUUUUUCAAAAGAUAGGGUCGUACCCCGAAAAAGGGCUUUCUACGUAUCUCAAUAAAGAGUGAGAAUCAGACCCUCGUAGUUCAUAAAGAUUGUAAAAACUAUGUUGCUGUAUAUUUAAAAAUUUUCCUUAUUUAAAAAUAAAAUUUUUCUUUCAAAAACGAUGUCGAGUCCCGCUAAGUCAAAUACAUAUGAUACAAAUAAAGCGGCACUUAAUAGGGAUAAUCAGAUUCUAAGUUUUCAGUUCUUCUAAGUUAAAACCUAAUAAGGAUAGGUGUCUAGACUGGCUUACCUGAGCGGACACUCAAAUCGGGGAGGGACAACUUGAUCGGUAGCAGGGCAACACCGCCUUCGUUGUCAAUCCGAACCCCGCCUAACAUAUGUGACUAUAUCCUUCACCAGGUGCCUUGACACUCUGGCUAUCUCAAAAUGAAAGUGGGAUGCAUAUGAUGCAUUCCCUCUAUCCUAUUUCAGAGACUCGGAGGGGGUACGCGAGAGAAAACAAUAUAUAAUACAGUCCAAAUAAUAUCAAAGCGAUAAAUAAGCGACAAAUAGCACAUAAGGCCAAUAAACACAAUAUCAACAAUAAUUAAAACAAGUAUAAUUCAAUACCAAAAGCUCGAAUUCUAGUUAAUCCCCAACAGAGUCGUCAGAGAUGUCACACCCCUUUUAAGAUCUAGGGGAUCGAGUUCGAAGGAUUUUUCCAAUUAAAGUGACAGUAUUGAAUAGGGAUUAAUUUCUUACAGAUUCGCCACUUGGAAUUGACUUAUGGUGUUCCAAGUUACCUUUUUUGAAUCCCUAAUCAAAGGAAAAUGACUCUUUGUUGGUCUGCGAAAACAGAAGACCGGAUAAAGAAUUCUGUUGACCAAGGAAAAGGUGUGAGGAACCCUCGAGUCUCGUGGUUCUAGCACGGUCACUUUUAUUGACUUAUUUUAACUUAAACUAUUUUGACAUAUUAUGUUAGUAGGCCUUAGUUCGCUCAUUUUUAAUUAUACUAAAAUUUGUCUAUUAUCUUAUAUUAAAUAAAUCGUGUGAAAAUUAAUUUUAAAAAAAUAUUAACCAAAGUGUAUUUUUGCAUCCUUGAAUUUUAAAAUAUCUCGAAAAUAUGUGUACACCAAAUUCUUUAUUAAGACAAAUAUUUAAAAAAUACUUUAAAAAUCUCCUAGCGUUAAAGGCGUUGGUUUGUCUCUCAUAAAUUCGAGUAGCUAAACUUACUCAUUUUUUAUUCGUUUCUUUCAAACCUUGGACUAAUCCGCAACUUGUUUGCUCCCUCACAAUAUUUUUCGCUCCCUCUUCUUUGGUUAUUUGUGAUAAGUCUGAAAAAAUUUAUAAUCUAUCUCAUUUGUCACACCCCUUUUUUCAACUCAAAAAAAAGAAUCAUUUUAAGGUUCGAAAGAGUUUUUAUUUAAAGUGACAAAAUGAAGAUUUGUUUCGAAAAGGACCUUUUAUAUUCAAAACUCAGAGUCGCCACUUGACAAAAUCCGGUGUGCCAAGUCACCUUUGGAAAAUCCUUUUCAAAACGAUUUGACUCUAAAAAAAUCUGAUCCGCGAACAGAGAUUCCAGCUAAGGAAUUCUGUUGACCGAGGGGAAGGUGUUAGGCACCCCUUAAUCCCGUGGUUCGACCACGGUCGCUUCGUGGGGUAUAUCGGCUAAUUUGACAUUACAAAUGUACAAACCACAUAAGCGCACAAAACAAGCAAACAAACAAAUCACACAAAACUCAAAACAAACCAAAAUAAUAUUCAGUCUAAAUUAUACAAUCCAAAAUAAAAGAGGAGCUGAAAUAUAAAACCUAUUAUAUCCUAAACUAAUCCUAAACUAAACUCCACCCGACAUUCCGGGCCUUGAUCACGAGCCUCCUUUGCGUACAUGCUACUUCGGGGCAUUCCUCGAAGAAAUCAAUACAAAUCUUUCGGGGUAUUCCCCUGUCAAAUGAGUACAAUUUAAACUUUUCGUGCAAUAAAGUAGAAAGUACCAUUCACGCACAUAUUCAAACAGUCCAACAAAUCGUUAUUCCUAAAUUUGCUUACCCAACUUAUUGCUUGCCUAACAAUCCACGGCCUAAAACAUGAUACUAUCAAGCUUAACGUAGUCGACGUUCAUUCCGAAUCAGGCAAUCAUGGCUGAACCAACAUAAAUCAACGUUUGCUUUUAAUAAUUUUCGAUCUUUUUCCCCAAAAUCCAACUUAACCCCAAAUCAACUACGUGAUUAACAUACUUCACACUAGGAUUAACAAUCAGAUAAUGGCGAGUAAAAUCACUUCAACCAAAUUCAACCAAAAAUCACACCAUUCAAAAAUAUUCACGAAAAAGAAAGAUAAGAGAUAUAGAAUUGGACCUCGAUUCAAAGGUUUUGAAAUUCAAUAAUACUUCAAUGAGAGAACAGAAUCCUCGUCGAAGAACCUCGAUUCGAAACCUUCGUUCGAACCCCAACAGAUUGACAAGACCAAAAUCAACAGAAAAAUGUCAAGACGAACACCAAAUCGAAUUAAAUCCAAAAAAAUAGGACGAACAAACCUGAAACCAGUAUUCUCAGCUCUAAAUCCUAAAACUAAAUCGAAUCUUACCAAAACUGGAAUCUAGAACGAGAUUUUUGUAUCCGUUUGAGCUGCGGAUGGAAUUCCGACGAGAUUUAAGCUAGAAAAUGAAGGGGAGAAUGGCAUUCCGACGUGAGUUUAGUCGGAGUAAAGCUGGUGACGCUGUUCUCUGUAGGUUUUUCUGGAUUUCUCUCUCUCCCCGAUUUGCUGGCUGCUUCAAUCUUACUCUUAUUCUCUCUUUCUCGCUCAGUCUCUCUCUAUCGCCUCUCUUUUUAUCUUCUUCUCCGAUCCUCUCUAUUUUGUUUCAAUUUUUCUCUACCCGUUCUCCAUCUCUCCAAAAUUUUAAUCGAGGCCUGUCUAGGCGUGGCUAUAUGUAUUCAGGAAUAGAGAAAGUUUGUGUAUGUACUAUUUUCAGUGACGAUUCUGUGAUAUCUAUUUUCUAGUGUGUGCAGGUAUGUGUGUAGAUGAUGAAGAUGAAGCAAAAGAAAAAAAUCCCUAAAAAAUGGCCUCUUCUGUGUGCCUUUUGGUCAAGAUGAUGAUCCAGCCCCCCUAUGUAUAUAUCUCUGUAUUUAUGUGAUGAUUCCCCCUAUUUUUGAUAGUGGUGGGCCUUCAGUGAGUCUUUUUUUGUAUGUAUCCUGUGAAAGAGGGAUAGUAUGUAGGGGUAGGGGUUAGGUGGGGUAGGUGGUGAGGUGGGGUAUGUGAGGUAUUAAAAUUUAAUAGGGAGGGGUUGUUAGAUUAAGAUAAAAUUAGUUAGGGGUUAUUAUUUUUGUUAUUUAAUGGAGGGAUAAUUACAUGGGUGAGGGUGCAUGAUAAUGUGAGCUAAAAAUGAAUAAAAUUGUACUUCGGGAGGGACAAAAUUAGGUGUGUACAUCAUGCCCCUUUUUGGGUGUAAACACCGAGUGUUUUCAAAAAAAAAAAAGUAGACAACGAGAUCAAAUUUUGACCCGACCAUUAUUCAAAGGAAGAAAAUAGAAGGAAGAAGGACUACCGAGUUGGAGGGUCGUGUGAGGUCCUAUCAAGGUUCUGGUCCACGGCUCUGUCAUUACAUCAAAAAUUAAAAUUACAAGUUAAAAAUAAAUAAAAUUACAAAACUCUAUCUAUGCAGCUUUCCUUGACUCCUGACUCGCUACUUCAUCACCCUAUUCUUCAGGCGGGCUCUUGACUUGCAAUUUCUUCAACUUGUUGCUUGCCUUUCAACUUCUUCACCCUGUUCUGCAGGCGGGCUCCUGACUUGCUAUUUUUCAAUCUGUUUAAAUUUCAAUUUCUUCACCUUGUUGCUUAGUUUUCCAUUUAUUCGCCCUGUGCUUCGGGCAGGCUCCUGAAAUCACAUCAAAACUAAAAAGAAAAUUAUCCCAAACAAAUAUUAUUAUAAAGAGAAAUUCCAUUUAUUUGCCAGAAAAGUAAAGUUUCAAAAACAGAAAUUGAAUUUUUGCCCCAGUUUAUCAUCAGAAGACUUUUGGAAAAGUCACAUCAUACCUACUUGCAUGUUGCAAUGUUGAAUUAAGACUCUGACUAAGAAAUUCAUCUCUUAAUAGUAAAAUCAAAUAACCAAGACUAGGAAGUGCAUCUCCUAAGAAUUAAAGUGAGGGAUUCUAACUAUAAAGUGUGUCUUCUAGAGAUACAAGUUUAAGCUAAAAAGUGUGCCGCCUGACAAAUGAAAACUAGCAAGGAAGUGUGUCUCCUUAGGAUUAAGUGCGAUAACUCGACUAGAAAGUGCAUCUUCUAGGAAUCAAGACUUAAGUUAGAAAGUGCAUCACCUAAAAAGCAAAAUUCGAAUAAUCAAGAAAGUGCAACUCCUUACCAAUGUUGCUUGAAUUAUCAAAAUAAGGAAGUGCAUUUCCUUACCAAUGCCUCUUGAAUUACUCAAACAAGGAAGUGCGUUUCCUUACAAAUGUUUCUUCAAUUGCCCAAACCAGGAAGUGUCUCCUUAAAAAUGUUGCUUUAAUUACCCCAAACAAGGAAGUAUGUCUCCUUAUCAAAUGUCAUUUGAAUUACCCAAACAAGAAAGUGCAUCUCCUUAUAAAUAUCACAUGAAUUACCCAACAAGGAAGUGCGUCUCCUUACAAAUAUUGCUUGAAUUACCAAACAAGGAAGUGCGUCUCCUUACAAAUGUUGCUGAAAUUAUCCGAACAAGGAAGUGCGUCUCCUUACAAAUGUUGCUGGAAUUACCCAAACAAGGAAGUGCAUCUUCUUACAAAUGCCGAUCGAAUUAUCAAACAAGGAAGUGUGUCUCCUUUGGAAGUGCGUCUCCUUAUGAUAGCGCUUGAAUUAACAAAAUAAAAAAGUAUGUCUCCUUACAAAUAUUGCUUGAAUUAUCAAAACAAAGAAGUACGUUCCCUUAUAAAUGUUGUUGGAAUUAGCCGAACUAGGAAGUGCGUCUCCUUACAAAUGUUGCUGGAAUUACCCGAACAAGGAAGUGCGUCUCCUUACGAGUGCCAAUCGAAUUACCAAACAAGGAAGUGCGUCUCCUUACAAAUGUUGCUUGAAUUAUAAAACAAGAAAGUGCAUCUCCGUAUAAAUGUUUGCUUGAAUUCCCCACACAAGGAAAUGCAUCUUCUUACAAAUACCGCUUGAAUUAUCAGAAAAGAAAGUGUGUUUUCUCACAAAUAUUGCUGGAUUUACCAAAUAAGGAAGUGCGUCUCCUUACAAAUAUUGCUCGAAUUUCCCACACAAGGAUUAUCAUAAGGCAGUAUUUCAUUUUUGAAAGCGUGGUCCCAUUUUUCAGGAGGAACCCGAACAAAAAGUAAAAUCAUUUUUUAAAAGGAUCCUGAACAGAAAGUAAAAUCUUAUUUUCGGGAGGGUCCUGAACAGAAAGUAACUUCCAUUUUCAGGAGGGUCCUAAACAGAAAGUAAAAUCCUAUUUUUCAGGAGGGUCCUGAACAUAAAGUAAAAUCCUAUUUUUCAGGAGGGUCCUGAACAUAAAAUAAAGUCCCAUUUUUCAGGAGGGUCCUGAACAAAAAGUAAAAUCUCAUUUUUUAGGAGGGUCCUGAACAGAAAGUAGAAUCCCAUUUUUCAGGAGGGUCCUGAACANNNNNNNNNNNNNNNNNNNNNNNNNNNNNNNNNNNNNNNNNNNNNNNNNNNNNNNNNNNNNNNNNNNNNNNNNNNNNNNNNNNNNNNNNNNNNNNNNNNNNNNNNNNNNNNNNNNNNNNNNNNNNNNNNNNNNNNNNNNNNNNNNNNNNNNNNNNNNNNNNNNNNNNNNNNNNNNNNNNNNNNNNNNNNNNNNNNNNNNNNNNNAUUUUUCAGGAGGGUCCUGAAUAGAAAGUAAAAUCCCACGGAUGUGCAUUUCCAAUGGUAGCUGAAUUAAGUGAAGCGAAUCUACCCCUAUUUCAACAAAGAAAAUUUGUCAGUUAAAAACUUAGUGGUAGCUUGCAGCACUUGGCUUUCUAGGCAUUUGCUCUAGUGUUCAUUCCCUUCAUUUUAUUUCAGAUUGCUGGCAUUUGCCCCUGCUUUGUCGUGUCAUUGACCCAAACUCAGAUUAUUAAGAGUGACUCUAAAAUAAACACAGUAUCUCUGCUUUGUCAUGCUUCUCAGAUAAAUCCUUCAAACCUUGGUAUUUUCAUAAGUUCCCCAGCUUGUCUGUUGACAGCUUUCUGCAUGCCUUCUUCAACUCAUAAUUAUGUCUUUUUCAGAUGCUGACUUUGUCUGGCAUUGUGCAAUUGAAGAAGCUGGUAGCCAGUUUUGAAAUCUUUUCUCACUUGUUUUGAUAUGGACUUGACUCAAAAACAAGAGAAAAAUAACAAUGACUUUUAUUUGGACCACUGACUCAAGAAAACAAAAUAAAAUAAAGAGAAGAAAGAAAAAACAAUGAGUGUCCCCAUUUGAAACAAAGAAAUGAAAAAUUUUCUAAAAAUGACAGUCAAAUCUAAUGAUUAUGCCAUGCAUUUUGGAUUAAACUACCUAAUCUUUCUAUUCAACUUUCUACCAAUUGUUGUUGAGUUAAUGACCUUGAAAAUGAGUUGUUUUCUUAGACCAAUUGCAUUCAGACCACAUUUGGCUAGUGACACUUUGAAGGGUCUUUCCCUCAGCUCACCAUUGUCUUAUGGCGUCUGUGAGGGUUUUUACUAAUGAGACUCUCUUAUUCUCAUUUCUACCAACUAACAAUCGUCUCACGGUGCCCGUGGUGGUUUUCACCAAUAAGACUCUCUCAUUUUUAAUUCUUUCUUAAUUCCUUGUGCUAAGAAAGACUGGUAGUUCCUAAAUGCAUCAUCAUAUCCCUUGCAUGCUUUGCCUUAACAUCCCCAAAGAUUGAUCUGAAGGUCUUUUCUUUGGUUGUAACUUGGCUUUUGAAUAGGGUUAGAAAGAAAGGAUGGCGUGAGGCCCAAACGACACUUGAAGUGGGUUAGGACUUACAACUUUUGGAAUCGGCUCAAACAAUGAGGAUUAACUCAUACCCCAGUUUCUUUUGACUGGGUGAUUCUAAGUUGUUUAUUUGGUUGGACCGAGCCCUUAGUAGGGCAGUCUACGUAUCUCAUCCCCGAGAGAGGAGAAUCAGGUCAUGCGUAGUUCUGGCAGCUUGUUCUUUCACUUGAUUCUAAUUUUUUUCUUUUGUUGACUCUUUGCUCUUUGGAUUUUUCUGACUCUCUUUGUCUUGACACUUUUUUUUCUUUUCGGACAUAUUUUUUUUUCUUCUCUUUUUUUUUGAACUUUUUUUGAAUCUAUUAUUUUGCUCGAUACUUUUCUUUUGAGCUUUGCUAACUAUAUUGAUUCCAAAAGAGUAAAAUAGGACUAAAGCUCAAAUGGGGAAAACAAAUGAUGACAUGAUGUUUGGAUGGCAGAAUGAAAUACCUUCAUCAUAUCAAUCCUUAAAAAUGCAAGUACAUAUCAUGUAAUAUGAAAGUGAGAGAUGAAGAUCAUUUGCGACAACUUUUUAAGCAGAUUGAGUCUGUGCGUCACUACUUCUUCUACAAACUCAGCCUUUGUUAUACAUUCCUCACAUUGAAUGACUCAUGCUUUCGUGGAGCUACUUAUUUUCUUUUUUCUCUUGAUAUAAAGAUCACACGUCCACUAUUUGACCUAAUUGGGACUUGCCUUUCGAUCGAUGACCAAGUUGGUCUUGUGAUUCUCAAAAUAAUUGCCUUAACUUUUCACCAAAUGUCUCAGCACUCUAUCUAUUUUCUCAUAUGCUCUCUUUUUCUAAUUUUAACCCUCUGAUUCAAUGUUCAUGCUUAAACUGGAUUUUAAGAUCUGAUUGAAAAUUUCACUAGCAUGUCAUAUCACUAGAGUCAACACAAAAUGUACUAUGUAAAGAAAACAAACAUACAACACAUAUUUAAAACACAAAGGAAAAUGAGACACUUCAUUUAGUCGAAACAAAAGAUAGAAGGGUUUGAACAUAAACAACAAAAGGACAAAACAAGACAGAUCCCGAACUACAACCUUGAAAUAAUUCGGAGAACAAAAAAUAAAACAAAAUAAGCUACCAAACCCCUUCCUAGUAAGGAGAUGGGUGACUUCUCAAUUGCUCAGCCUGACAACUUAGCCACUGAUUUCCAUAUCAGCAUGACUAGAGCUUCCCUCACUGUCAAUGUUCUGCACCAUGAUUGAUUUAUCUUGAAUCAUCUUUUCAAUUUCUCUUUCAACUUAGUCACUGGUUUUCAUAUCAGUAUGACUAGAACUUCCACCAUGAUCAGACAUAUUACCUUCAACAAAUAAGUUUUGGGUCCUCAUGUUUAACUCAUUGCUUCCCACAUAUUGUGCAGUACCAUGUGCUGGCGAAGAAUUCUGCGGGAUGGGUGAGGUGCCAAUGUUUUCUACCACAAUCAAUUUUUCUUGAAUCAUCCUUUCUAUUUCUCUUUUCAAAGCACGAUAAUCCUCAAUACUGUGACGAUGAGCAUCAGAAUAGUAUGCACAUCAUACAUUAGGAUCAAAACUUCUUGAAUAUGGGUCAGGAGUAUACCCAAGGAGAGGAGUGAUUAUGUCCUGCUGUACCAAUCUCUAGAAUAAACUAGCAUACGACUCUCCAAUGGGUGUGAAGCUAUCCCUCGACUUCUGUCUUAUUUCAUUAUUUGGCUUAAAUUGAAAAUCAGGCCUAGAAAGGCUUCUGUAUGUAUGUGGAGUUGGAGGAUGACUCGGCAGAGUUGGCGCACACCAGUGUGGGUAAGAUGGAGGUUGAACAUAAGGUUACGCAUUAUACACUUGAUAUGGAGGUUGGGAAUGGGAUAUAAUGGAUUUUGGUAAAGAUUCUGUGGAGCUUGGGCAUAAACUUGGGUUUGAGCCUGUGGGCAACGAUGGUGUGGUCCUCUUGCCCAUGUCUGUUGUCCAACAGCAAUGGCAGAUGCAUCUUCCUCAUUCUUCUUUCCUCCCACACUUUCUAAACCUUUUUGAAUUGCUUGAGUAGUCGUUUUCAAUGUUGUAAAACUCACAAUGCGACCAAUCUUAAUUUCAUCCUCUAUCAUCUCCCCCAUUUUGAGGACCUCAAUAAAUGGCUUGCCUAAUGCAGGUAACAGGUGUUUAUAAUAUGUUUCAUCCUACUCUUGAAUAAACACCUCCACUAACUUACUUUUUUUCAUUGGCGGUUUCACCCUAGCAACUUAUUCACGCCAUCUAAUCGCAUACUCUCUGAAAGUUUUAGUACUCUUUUUCUUCAUAUUAGUUAAGGAUUUCUCGUCAGGAAUCAACUCCAUAUUGUAUUGAAAUUGUUGCACGAAUUCAUUAGCCAGGUCAUCCCAGCUAUUCCACUUGUCGAUGUCUUGGUCAACAAAUCAUUCUGAAGCUAGACCUGAAAGACGCUCACCAAAAUAUGCCAUGAGUAAUUCUUCCUUCCCUCCAGCGCCCCUUAGUUGGUUGCAAUAGUGUCUCAAAUGUGCUACAGGAUCGUCAUGUCCAUCAUACUUCUCAAACUUCGGCAUUUUAAAACCAAGAGGAAGAUGUACACCUGGGAACAUGCACAGAUCUUUAUAUAAGACACUUUUGUACCCCCCAAGUCCUUGCAAGUUUUUCAUAGUCAGUUUCAAACUUCUUAAUUUUCUGGCUAUUUCCUCUUGUUCUUCUGUCAUAACAGGCUUCUCAGUGUUAGGAGGAAAUUCAGGCGGUUGAGGGCAAUCGUAAGGACCAGUCGACUUAAAUGUGGGCUCGGGAGCAUAACGAUGAUCACUAAGAAUAUUCAAUAUAGGGUCGCUUGUAGAGUGAGGAAUCACAACCGUUGGAUUGACAUUAAAAGUAGGAGCUUCAGACCAGAGUAGGGCUAAAAAAGCAUGAAUAGCAGGCGGAGCCGACCAUGUGGUAAUUUUGUAUUGAGGAGUGAGGUUAUGAAUAUUGGAAGUGUUUGGAUACUGUUGCCCCGGAGUAGGUCCUGAUGUAUGUUGUGGCGUGUCGACCAAAAUAGGAAAUUGUGCAUGUGACACUGGAGGCAAACUAGAAAGAUAUUCCAGAUUAUUUGCUGGAAAUGGAGAAGGCGGCAACCUAUUAGCCCAAGCUCGAUGCAUUUCUAUCAUUUGUUGUCUCAAUUUCCGAAUCUCUUCAUUAGCUCAUACAUUCUCAUUCCCCAAACUCCCUAUCUGAUUAGUGAUAACAAACUUGGUAUCCUUGUUGCCCAUAACUUUCACUGUGACUUGGAGCAAUAUGGAGGACCAGCCAAAAUGCCACAAAUCAACCACCUUAAACUAACUGGACAAGACAUAGCAAAUGCGUUAGAGUUCAACGAUUUUUCAAAACCAGUUCUUCUUUUUUUUUCUUGAAAAAAAUCACCGAACCCUAGAAGGGCGCCUACGUAUCUCACCCCCGAAAGGGGAGAAUCAGGUGUGCGUAGUUCGUGAAGUCAUGCCAAAAUGGCCAAUUGAACUCUUUUUCUUUUUUUUUUCCUCGAAACUUUAAGAAGAAAAGAAAAUAACAAUUUGUCAAAAGAAUUGACGAAAAUAUUUUUGAAUUUUUUAGCUUUAACAUCCCCAUACAAAGUGAAAUCUAUGAUUACCAAAGAAAAUCUUUUUUCUUCUUUUUUUUUCAACAAUUUCUUACCUACACACUUUGCUUCUAACUCAUGUUUUUGCCCAAACCAGUCGGUCAAAUAACCCUGUUACCCUCAAAAAUACAACAUUUAGCACGUAGGGAUGCCUUAGAGGUGAGUCUCCUACAAAGGGCCAAAUGGGCCCUGCUAGGUCUUCAAUAUGAUGCACAUAAGCAUGACCUAAAGACUGACCUACGUUGGGGUUCACUAACAAGGCUGUUCGGGGGAGCAUAUGGUCGAUAGUGGCUGCUUAGCUUUCCACCUACUCCAUACAUCCAACGGCUCCCUCCCCUAAAAUAAAGGUGACUCAACUAGAGUUCGUGCGCAUGGCGUGCACUCCGAGACUUGUUGCAAAAAUAAUGACUCGGGUUAUGCACAUGAUGUCAGAUAUAAAAGCGUUAACACAUAGGAUAAAUACUGUAAACAAAGAGCACGAAAACACACAAAAGUGAAAACACAAACAAAAGUCACAAACAAUACUUAUACACUCGUAAUGCAAACAAAGCCGAUACGACUCCAAAAAAGCUCGAAUUCUGAAAUUGUCCCCAGUAGAGUCGCCAGAGCUGUCACACCCCAUUUUUCAACUCAAAAAAAGAAUCAUUUUAAGGUUCGAAAGGGUUUUUAUUUAAAGUGAUAAAAUGAAGAUUUGUUUAGAAAGGGACCUUUUACAUUCAAAACUCAGAGUCGCCACCUGGCAUAAUCCGGUGUGCCAAGUCACCUUUGAAAAAUCCUUUUCGAAACGGUUUGACUCUAAAAAAAAAUUGAUCCGCGAACAAAGAUUUUGGCUAAGGAAUUCUGUUGAUCGAGGGGAAGGCGUUAGGCACCCCUCGAUCCCGUGGUUCGACCACGGUCGCUUGGUGGGGCGUAUCGGCUAAUUUGACAUUACAAAUGUACAAACCACAUAAACGCACAAAACAAGCAAACAAACAAAUCACAUAAAAUUCAAAACAAACCAAAAUAAUGUUCAAUCCAAAUUAUACAAUCCAAAAUAAAAGAGGUGCUGAAAUAUAAAACCUAUUCUAUUCUAAACUAAUCCUAAACUAAACUCCACCCGACGUUCCGGGCCUUGAUCACGAGCCUCCUUUGCGUACAUACUACUUCGGGGCAUUCCCCGGAUAAAUCAAUACAAAUCUUUCGGGGCAUUCCCCGACCAAAUGAGUACAAUUUAAACUUUUCGUGCAAUAAAAUAGAAAGUACCAUUCACGCACAUAUUCAAACACUCCAACAAAUCGUUAUUCCUAAAUUUUCCUACCCAAUUUAUUGCUUACCUAACAAUCCACGGCCUAAAACAUAAUACUAUCGAACUUAACGUAGUCGACGUUCAUUCCGAAUCAGGCAAUCAUCGUUGAACCAACAUAAAUCAACGUUCGCUUUUAACAAUUUUCGAUCUUUUUCCCCAAAAUCCAACUUAACCCCAAAUCAACUACGUGAUUAACAUACUUCACACAAGGAUUAACAAUCAGCUAACGACGAGUAAAAUCACUUCAACCAAAUUCAACCAAAAAUCACACCAUUCAAAAAUAUUCACGAAAAAAAGAGAUAAGAGAUAUAGAAUUGGACCUCGAUUCAAAGGUUUUGAAAUUCAAUAAUACUUCAAUGAGAGAACAGAAUCCGGUCAAAGAACCUCGAUUCGAAACCUCCGUUCGAACCCCAACAGAUUGACAAGACCAAAAUCAACAGAAAAAUGUCAAGACGAACACCAACUCAAAUUAAAUCCAAAAAAACAGGACGAACAAACCUGAAACCAGUAUUCUCAGCUCUAAACCCCAAAACUAAAUCGAAUCUUACCAAAACUGGAAUCUAGAAUGAGAUUUUUGUAUCCGUUUGAGCUGCGGAUGGAAUUUCGACGAGAUUUGAGCUAGAAAAUGAAGGGGAGAAUGGCGUUCCGACGUGAGUUCGGUCGGAGUGAACCUGGUGACGCUGUUCUCUGUAGGUUUUGCCGGAUUUCCCUCUCUCCCCUAUUUGCUGGCUGCUUCAAUCUUACUCUUAUUCUCUUUUUCUCGCUCAAUCUCUCUCUCUCGUCUCUCUUUUUAUCUUCUUCUCCGAUCCUCUCUAUUUUGUUUCAAUUUCUCUCUACCCGUUCUUCAGCUCUCCAAAUUUCGAUCGGGGCCUGUCUAGGCGUGGCUGUGUGUAUUCAGGAAUAGAGAAAGUUUGUGUAUGUACUAUUUUCAGUGAGGAUUCUGUGAUAUCUAUUUUCUAGUGUGUGCAGGUAUGUGUGUAGAUGAUGAAGAUGAAGCAAAAGAAAAAAAAUCCCCAAAAAAAUGGCCUCUUCUGUGUGCCUUUUGGUCAAGAUGAUGAUCCAGCCCCUCUGUGUAUAUAUCUCUGUAUUUAUGUGAUGAUUCCCCCAAUUUUUUAUAGUGGUGGGCCUCCAAUAAG